UUUUUUUUUUUUUUUUUUUUUUGGUAAAAAUGUAAAGAUAUUAUUACCAAGUUUUUUCGUUUUUGACAGAAAAUACAGAGGUUAACAAGAAACAGAUAAACGGAAAAUAAAUCUAAACACAAACUCGAUUUAGCUAAAACGGGACGAAAGACACAAACUACCUAAACCGCUAUCCCCGAGGCUCGGCCAUGUCCACAACAACAGCUUGCCGCAAAAGAAUGAGCCAAGUUCAACCGAGAGUCGGAACCCGGUAAUUUUGGCCUCCCCGAUGAUCCGCUCUUAAAGAUAAUGGCCCAUCCGAGAACAGCUUGCCGAGGCUUAGUAGCACAAACCCACAAGAACAGACAACAAGAGCAGAGGCCUACACACCCGCAGAAACCAAAACCGAGCUUUUAUUAGACCCGAAUACGACCUAUACAUGAUGCCGUUCCGAGCAAAAAGGGGCUGCAACCUCCGAACAUCCCAUACCGAGCCCAACCUGCACACAAUUGCCUCGCACACCACCACAAAGAGCACAAGCAAACCCAAGUGAUGCUGGGAUGUGAGCGAAGACCGAGCUUUAGGAAGAGGCGGUCAAUGAACAGAGAACCACCACACGCUCCUCGUNNNNNNNNNNNNNNNNNNNNNNNNNNNNNNNNNNNNNNNNNNNNNNNNNNNNNNNNNNNNNNNNNNNNNNNNNNNNNNNNNNNNNNNNNNNNNNNAACUGAAAUUGGAGACGCUAGGGCCGUCACUUGCCUCAACAAGAACGGGAUUUGAAACAGGGCACACCAGUACAGAAACCGCAAAGAGGAGGGCCAAAGGUGAGGAAGCAAAGUGAAAGGCCACUCAAGCGGACAUAGACGACCGCUCUUUAAACCUCCCAUAUGACCUACGCGAGCCGGCCACCGAGCUCAGACACCAUCCCGCCUGCGUGCUGAAGCUCACGAACUCGCCGCCGUGGUAGAGAAACCCACCAGCACACACCACGCUAGGAGGAGGAUACUCAGGUUCAAAACCGACGAGAGACACCCUCCGUAGCCGAGAACCGCCUGGGCUAGAGCAGCGAACCGUCGAAACCCAGGAGAGGACACCGCGACGCUCCUCCUCACGAACAGAAAAAAGCAGGACGAGAUCUGAAAGAGAAAAUCGAUCUCCAACCAUACCCCUAAAAGCCGACUGCAAUCUCCACCCACCGCUCGACUUUCUCGCCAUUGUUCCAGAGAAAGCUGCGAGACCACCGGAUCAAAACUCCUCUGCAGCGGAGCAAUUUCCGGAGCCAAGCCCUAGCCCAGAACAACGCACAUAUCGAAGGGAGCGAGACAGAUGGGAUAACAGCAAAACGAGAGAAAGAAACUAGACGGAGGGGGCCUCCAGUCACCGUACGCGCCGCCACGCGCCGUCGGUGCCGAAGGAGACGAAGCUCAAGUUUAUCGUCUUCAAGAGAUAAGGUGGAGAGAGAAAGUUAAGGAAAUUUGAUAUCUCCGUAGCACAAUAUUGUUGACAAACAAAAAGGUAAAGAGAUAUCAAAAGAACUUGUUAACAUCCUAUCAUUUUCUUAAAGAUUCUUUGUUUUUUUUUUCAGCUCCACCGUUUCUACAAAUUGGUACUAUAAGUUACCACUUUUCAAAUAUUUUUGUGUCAUAGUUUGUCCAUAAAUAUGUUUUGGUCUAUCAAACUUGUUAAUUUAAAUCAACACCGAAAAACCUGUCUCUGAAUUAUUUGUCAGUACAUCACACGUUAGUACAACUGUAACGCUUAUAUUAGGCAUAUAGAUCAUGUACUUGCCAAUUUAAGGUGUUAAGCUUUGAUAGAUCAUAUAGAUCAUAUCAAACAUGGUUUUUAAAAAACUUUUGAUUCUAUUAAUUUUUUUAUUGUAUUAAUAUAUUUUUUAUGUUUCUUUUUAGUGUAAACACUCUUACCAGAAUCCCAAUGGACUUGAUAAAGGGAUCAAUCAAAAUAACUCAGAAACUCUAACCUUAACCCAAACCAAACUCAACCCGUGUAGAAGUUCAACAAAUGGAAGACAAAACCAUAAAAAGAUUCUAGAAGCCACACCAUCAAACCCCAAAGAAGAACCGCCGCAAAAAAAAAUAAAACUCUUGAGCCACCACCACUAUCAAAAGCUAAGAAGAUAUAGACGAUAUUUUCCAGCCACCAACAACGAGCAGGAACCAAAAUGGAGAGAAGCCCCGAACCGGCACCGCCUACAAACCACAACCCGAUCUGAGAAAAGCAACCUAAGAUUGCCACAUCAUCAACGUUAAAAUGAGACUAAAUCUUAUUCCAUGCGACAAAAAGCAGAGAAAGAGGGAGAAAGGAAUACUCUCGGAGGAAGGGGAGAUGUCGGGAAACUUCCAAAGAGAGGCAAAUAUAUUGUCCCCAAAUAGAUUUAUUUACCGAAAGCUACAUCUGACCUCCACCGGCUAGCCUACACGCCAUCGCCCCAGACUCAACUUCAUGGCCAUCACCGCUUCACUACACCAAGCUUCAAAACCGGACUUUAAAACAAAGAUGACAAACAGGAAAAAAGGGAAAUGGCCACCGCCACUCGUCCUCGUCAUCAUCGUCACCAAAAAAUGGAAACAGGAAACAGAAAAAUCACCGUCACCAAAACAACACUAAGGUAAGGUCCUGUUCAUUUAAUUUGUCCAUCUGUCAUCAUCCAUUUAGAUGACCCAUUUAGAUAAUUUAGUUAAUUGAUUCAUAUGGAUGUUAUUCAGAGGGUUCGUUUCUCCGUCCAAAUCGUUCAUCUAAAUGAAUAUGUAUUCGUUUGUUCUUCUCUAUUUUCAUCUAGAUGAGUUUAGUAAGCAAAUGACUUAUAUAUCAUUAUUGAUUUAAUCAUAUUUUUUUUUUUUUUUUUUUUUUUUUUNNNNNNNNNNNNNNNNNNNNNCUUUGCAUGCUCGAUUUAAGGUAAGUAUCAUUUUUUUUUUUUUUUUUUUUGCAAAAAAAAAAAAGUAACGGAUGGCGAUGGCGAUGGCGACAGAGACUGCGUUCUAGGUUUUUUAUGGAUCUUCGACAAUGGGAUAUGGAGUUACAAUGGGUUACGCGGCUUCGGAUUUGGACUGUUUAUCAUGAUUCUAAAGGCUUACAUGGGGUAUGGGAGAGAUUGGAGGAUCCCGAAAGAAAAGAUCUGUCAGAUCUUCGAGGAAAUUUCCGACAAGGAAAGUUAGGAAUCAAAGGAUAUUGGGUUGUCACAGAGGAUCGAUCGGGAAUCUGUUUCAGAUUUCUAGGAAAGGAUUUUCACGGUAUUUUCUCUGAGGUUUUUAAUUCGAAAUGGGAUUGGGUUGAUUUGGGGAUUAUGGAAGAUUCUAAGAGAUCUUAUUUUUCUCGGGAUAGGAAGGUUUCGAUUGAGUUUCUGAUGCAUAUUAAGGUCUCUCAGGAUCUCGGUUCAAGUGAUUUGAUUUGCAGAAUCAAUCAGACACGAUUGGAUUUACCUUUAUGGCGUGGAGAUGUGGAGUUACUGGGUUACUAUAAAAACAGGGAAGGAGUAAAGGAAUGGCAAAUCGUUCUUGCUAUCUUUCAUUAUUUCAUAAAACUCAAAUUUAUUGGUGUUAUUGUUCUUUUGGUUUUGAUGGCGCAGAGCCAACUGAUUGGAAAAUCCGGAGAGAUGAAAGGUGUUGAGGGAGCUCGUAAGAGAUUGAAAAUUUCGGUUCCACAUUUUGAUAAUACUAGCCUCAUCAAGCAGUAUGACAAAACUCUCAUUGGCAGGUGCAUGAAUCCGGCGGGGCAGGAUAUAAAUGCUCUCCUGGUGAUGUUGCCAAAGAUUUGGAAGGUGGAGGAUCGUGUGGCUGGUACUGACUUGGGGUUUGGACGCUUCCAGUUUGAUUUUGUGGAGGAGGAAGAUAUUGAGGCAGUACUGAAGAUGCAGCCCUACCACUUCGACUACUGGAUGAUCGCAUUGGCUCGGUGGCAGCCAAAGAUGCCACGGGAUUUCCCUUCGGAGAUACCAUUUUGGAUCAAGGUAUUGGGUGUCCCUCUGGAGUUUUGGGACGUAGCAACUUUUCAAAGCAUUGGGGAGGCGUUAGGAGAAACGGUGGAGGUUGAUCUUGAUUAUGGUAAAAUCAAAGUGGUUGUGGAUGGCCGCAAGGAGUUGUGUUUUGACACGACCGUGGACUUUGUUGGUGGGGAGUUCCAUGGAGGAGAUGAGGCUCUAAUAUCACUUAAGUACGAGAAGUUAUUUGGAUACUGCGGAACAUGUUUCAGCCUUUCUCAUGAUAAGGAGCAGUGUCCACUAACGGCAAAGAGUCCACCGAAGAAGAAGGAGAUUAGGGAGUUGCCUCUAGCCAGACAAGAAGAUAGAGCUAGGAGUUACAAAGGUGUGGUCAUAAAUGGAGAGGGGGAACAACAAGUAAAAGGCAAGGAUCAUAGAGAUUUCUAUGGAAAGGGAAAAGGGAAGAUGUAUGAGGAGCAGGAGUCCAAAUGGGUGAAGGUACCUGAGAGAGGAAAUUUUCGGAAUCAGGGCCACCGCAACAAUCAAAGAGGUGACGAUGGAGGCUAUAGGUACAGGGGCGAUCGGGGUGAUCGAACCAGAAGAUACGGCACGGUGAAUAACUUCAAUGCUGCUAGGGGGGUGCGACGUGGUGCUAGUCCACGAACUGGAGCAGCAGAGGAUGCACGGGAAGAGGGAGAGAUUCCCCAUCAGGAUCACAGAGCUCAGCGUCUUGAUGAUGAACUAUCGCUUUCAAUACCGUUGCAGGGAAACGCGGCUCAGGUAGACGAUCCAAAGGUAAAUUCGGUUCUGGAAAGUGAGGAGAAUGGAUUAGAUGUGGUCAAUGAGUUUUUAGAAACUGAGAAUAAUAAGGGUGAGGAAGAUAGUAUGGAGCUAGGGGAUGAACAGGUUAACCUCGAAGGUGAUGAUGGAGAAGACGUGGAGAAUGCUAGUGGGGAGGAAAACUUUCAGAAUCUCACAGAUGGAGAGGUCGAGGAAAGUAAUGAUCAGAUUGACGAUACACUGGGAGACAUCAAGGAGGACGAUAUUACAGUGGGUGGAAUGGAAGAGAAGGAAGCUGCUGCGGGCGAGGAGGAUAAGAAGAAGGGGGCGCGCAGGGGUCUUAUUAAGCCGAGUUUGGUUGCAGGAGGUUCAACAAAGGCAAGAAUGGUUCAAGCUUACAUAUCCAACCGUAAGCGCACGUCCACUAAACCUGUGAACCGUAAUGGAGAAGGAUCAAAGCAGCAGGAGGAGCAGGGUACCUCAAAACCCAAACCUCAUUCGACCAAACCCUAGAGUUCUAUGGAUUUACGAGCUACAGAAGAGCAGUUCUUUGAGCAUUUGGAGUCUCCUGGUUUUUUCAUUUUAUUUGCAUUAAUAAGCUCUUUGAGCAUUUAUAUUGUUGGUGUUUUUAGUUUUUAUUUGAAUUUGGUUCUUUGUUUGAGCUUUGAAAGAUCGAACUAUAAGAUAUUGAAUGGGAAUAUGACUGGCUUUUUGGUUUUAUGGUAUUAUGUUUGGUACGUAUGGUGCAUUUCUGGUUUAGUAUGUCUACUCUUUCAAAAUUCUGGAAGUGCUACUGGAUUGUUGGUUAGUUUGGUCAUGGAUCUGUAUAUGUGUUUGGUCUCCUUAAUCCAAAUACAUAUACAAUGGUGUUUCACGGUGAUGCAAGUGUUUGGGUGGAGGAGUGGUGCUAUUUCGUUAUCUCUACAUCAAUUAUGGGUUUUGGUUUCUUUAUUUCUACAUAAUAAAGGUAAGCGUAUGGAGGAGAUGUAUUAUUGGAUGAAUGAUUGGUGCCUUGCAAUGAAUAUUGGGUUCAUCUAUAUGGUGUGGUACGGGUUCCCACUGGGACUAAGAGUUUUGUUUUGUCACUUUCAAAAUAUUUUUUUCACACAGAUGGUGCAAACGAAUAUCAGCAUGGCAAUAUAUUUUUUCCUUAUUUGGUCUUUUACUCAAUGGCUUUGGUUAUAUACGUGUUGGAAGAGAGGUCAACACCUGCAGUUUUUAUUGGGAGUGAUACGUUUUAAAUGGUCACUAUGGUAUUGGUUUUCGGUUUCCCCAUGUUGUUGGAGAGCUUGGCGGAGUGCAUUAACAGGUGAUUGGGAGAGUGUGAUGGUUACGAAGUUGUUGGUGUCAUGUUUUUGGCUGUUUUGUAUGGUAUGGUGGUGGAAAUUUCAGGGUCUCUUUACACCCAAAUUAAAUAGCUCUAUAGAGCUUUUGUAUAAUUUUUUAAAAUGAGAGCACUUAGUUGGAAUUGCAGAGGAAUGGGAAGUAAAUGGACAACAAGUUAUUUAAGGGAGAUAUGGCAUAAAUAUAAGCCGGAUUUUUUAUUUUUAUCGGAAACAAAACAAGAUUUUGAAUUCGUUCAAAAAUAUCAAUCACAUUUUGGAUUUGAUAAUUUAGUCACAGUUGAUCCAAUAGGUCGGAGUGGUGGACUGGCGCUUUACUAUAAUAACGAUUAUCAGGUUAAGGUUUUAUAUUCAAGUAAUAGAAUGAUUGACGUGGAAGCAGUGGCUCUGGGGAAAACGGUUUAUUUGACUUUUGUGUAUGGGGAUCCAGUCAAAGAAUUGAGGGAACAAGUGUGGGAACGCUUAACUAGAUAUGGACUUUCAAGAUCGGAACCGUGGUUCCUUAUUGGCGAUUUGAAUGAGAUUACAGGAAAUCAUGAAAAAGAGGGUGGAUCUCUCAGGAGUGCGGAUUCAUUUGUCCCUUUUAACAAUAUGAUUAGGAAUAGUGGAUUGCUGGAGUUCCCGGCUAAGGGAAAUAAAUUGUCAUGGCAAGGGAGAAGAGGUAAAGGAAAAGGGGCAGUAAUGGUAAGAUGCCGCCUAGACCGUGCACUAGCAAACGAGGAAUGGCAUACUUUAUUCCCAUGUUCUCAUACGGAAUAUUUAAAGAUGGUGGCAUCUGAUCAUCGACCUCUGGUGGCUUUUCUCGAUGAUAAAGUUAUACGGAGAAAAGGCCAAUUUAGAUUCGAUAAGAGAUGGGUUGGCCAAGAUGGUCUUAUGGAAUCAAUUACAAUGGGUUGGUCGAAAAAUAGGGAAGGCACCAGAAAUGGUAUAGUGGAAAAGAUUAGUAAUUGUCGUCAUCAAAUAGCAAAAUGGCGGAAAAAUAAUCCACCUUAUGGAAAGGAAAAAAUUGCAGAUUUGCAAAAGGCCCUUGAAGAAGUACAAACUGAUGAUACUAGGUCUCAAGAGGACAUACUGGAAGUAUCCAGGAAGCUACAAGAGGCAUAUAAGGAUGAAGAGGAGUAUUGGCACCAAAAAAGUAGGAAUAUGUGGUAUUCAUCUGGGGAUCUUAAUACAAAAUUUUACCACGCAUUGACUAAGCAACGAAGGGUACGUAAUAGGAUUGUAGGACUUCAUGAUGCAGCCGGAAAUUGGAUCACUGAGGAUAAUGGAGUAGAAAAAAUAGCAGUAGACUAUUUUGAAGAACUCUUUUGUACUACAUCUCCAUCGGAGUUUGACGAUUUUCUCUCGGAAAUAACACCGGGGAUUACUCCUCAGAUAAAUCAAUGGUUAUUGAGAAUGGCGACUGAGAAUGAGGUCAGAGAGGCUCUUUUUAUGAUGCAUCCAGAGAAAGCACCAGGACCAGAUGGCAUGACCGCUCUUUUCUUUCAACAUUCGUGGCAUAUUAUUAAGAAUGAUUUACUAGAGAUGGUGAAUAAUUUUCUGGUCUCGGGAGAGAUGGACGCACGGUUAAACAUUACUAAUAUAUGUAUGAUUCCAAAGACAGAAAGGCCUACAAGGAUGACGGAGUUGCGACCAAUCAGUUUAUGUAAUGUGGGCUAUAAAAUAAUAUCGAAGGUUUUGUGUCAACGGUUGAAAAUCUAUUUACCCUCUCUCGUCUCGGAGACGCAAUCGGCAUUUGUGGCAGGGCGUUUGAUCUCUGAUAAUAUUCUUAUAGCUCAGGAAAUGUUUCAUGGAUUAAGAACAAAUAAAGCGUGUCAAGGAAAGUAUAUGGCAGUUAAAACGGAUAUGAGUAAAGCGUACGAUAGGAUAGAAUGGGAAUUUAUUAAAGCUUUAUUACAGAAGAUGGGUUUUCAUCAGCAUUGGAUUAAAUUAAUGAUGGAGUGCAUAUCCUCGGUUCAAUAUAGGGUUCUUCUAAAUGGACAACCACGAGGGCUCAUUGUUCCACAAAGAGGUUUACGACAAGGAGAUCCAUUGUCUCCUUAUUUAUUUAUCUUGUGUACUGAGGCUUUGAUUGCAAAUAUCAGGAAGGCGGAGAGAGGGAAACAAUUAACAGGAAUUAAGGUAGCCAGAGCAUGUCCAUCGAUUUCACAUCUUUUUUUUGCGGAUGAUAGUUUGUUCUUCUGCAAAGCUCAAAAGGAGGAAUGUCACACUAUUCUCAGGAUUUUAAAAGAGUAUGAGAUGGUUUCGGGGCAACUGAUAAAUUUUGAAAAGUCUUCGAUUCAAUUUGGUCAUAAGAUUGAGGAAUCGACCAGGCAGGAGUUAAGAGAUAUUUUGGGUAUUCAGAAUUUGGGGGGAAUGGGAUCUUAUCUAGGAUUACCAGAGAAUCUUGGAGGCUCGAAGAUUCAAGUUUUCGGCUUUGUGCAGGAUCGUCUAAAUAGUAGGGUCAAUGGUUGGACUUUUAAGUUUUUUACAAAAGGAGGAAAGGAAGUGAUUAUUAAAUCAGUGAUUACGGCAUUGCCGAACCAUACGAUGUCGUGUUAUCGCUUACCUAAGGCAACCACAAAAAGGUUGACGGGUGCUGUAGCACAAUUCUGGUGGAGUCCUGGAGGUAGUUCACGAGGACUGCAUUGGAAAUCAUGGGACAAAGUAUGCGUCAGUAAGGAAGAUGGGGGUUUAGGUUUUAAGGAUAUAACUGAUUUCAAUACUGCAAUGCUUGGUAAGCAGUUAUGGAGGCUGAUAGAAAAGCCAAACACUUUAUUCUCUCGAGUUUUCAAGGGGAGGUAUUAUAGGCAUGCCUCACCUCUUGAACCGAUCCGUUCAUACUCUCCGUCAUAUGGCUGGAGGAGUAUAGUAUCUGCUAGAUCUCUGGUAAGCAAAGGACUAAUCAAACGGGUGGGAACAGGUUCUUCUAUAUCUGUAUGGAAUGAUCCCUGGCUCCCAACCACUCGCCCGAGACCAGCCAACAAAAAUCAACACAAUUUGUAUCCAGAUCUUACAGUGGAAUCACUUAUUGAUCCCAUUUCGCGAAAAUGGAAUUCGCAGGCCCUACGGGAUUUGGUAGAUCCACAGGAUGUGAAAAUUAUAGAAAGUAUACCACUGAGCAGAAAUCAGAUGGUCGAUAGGGAAGGAUGGCAUUUCACAAACAAUGGAAGAUUUACGGUUAAAUCAGGCUACCAAGUAGAGCGGAUCUACCCGGAUAGGGAACGACCACCAUUAUUGAUGGGACCAACAGUUGAUGCUCUGAAGGCUUUUUGUUGGAAAAUCCGGUGUCCACCAAAAAUAAAACAUUUUCUUUGGCAAUUGGUAUCAGGGUGUGUAGCAGUUAAGAAGAAUCUGAAGGCGCGAGGGAUGCAAGGUGAGAUUUGUUGUGCAAGAUGUGGAGCGGAGGAGGAGUCGAUUAACCAUGUAUUUUUCGAAUGUCCUCCAGCACUUCAGGUUUGGGCUCUUUCAAAGAUACCAACAAAUCCAGUCAUUUUCCCAACGAGUUCUCUUUUUACGAAUAUGGAUCAUCUUUUUUGGAGGGUUGUUCCACAGAUGGAGGAUCAUCAGUUUGCUUGGAUACUAUGGUAUAUUUGGAAAGGAAGAAACAAUAAGGUUUUUAGCAAUUUGGAUAUGGAUCCUAAGGAUACUCUAAAACUGGCAGAAACGGAAUCUAUACUCUGGGCAGAGGCACAAGUUUUGAAUGAACAGAAAAUGGAAACUCAGAUACAGGUUACGUCCCUUCCGUCAAUUUCCGGACGAUGGUGUUUUACAGAUGGAUCAUGGAAAGAGGGUGAUAUUUUCUCUGGUCAGGGUUGGUUCAGUACAUUAGAAGGAUUUGAGGGGUUGAUGGGAGCAAGGAAUGUACGGGCAUCUCUAACACCAUUACAUGCAGAGAUGGAAGCGCUACUAUGGGCUAUGGAAUGUAUGAGAAACUUACGACAAUUUCAGGUUACGUUUGCAACGGAUUGUUCUCAAUUGGUGAAGAUGGUUUCAGCACCAGAAGAAUGGCCUGCUUUUGCAAGUUAUUUGGAAGAUAUCAAGAGUCUGAAAGAGAGUUUCAUACGAUCAGAGAUUAUUCAUGUGCCAAGAACGCAAAAUACAAAGGCGGAUAACCUAGCACGCAGUGUCAGGACACAAACGUCUUUCGUCGUUCACAUGGAUCAACAUCUACCAGUGUGGUUUACAGGGUCAAUAUGAGUCUGUAAUGUUGUCGACAAAAAAAAAAAAAAAGUUUAUAUUCUUCUUUUUUUCAGUUGACUGAGAAAAGAGUUUUAAUUCACAUUUCAUUGUACAGUAAACAAAGAAAAAAAAAAAAAAAAAAAAGAUUUAAUCAUAUUUUAUUUUUUUAACUAUAUUGGUUUUUAUUAAUAAAUCAAAAUAAAAUUAUUUUUAAAUAUGAUUUUUGUGGGAAAUAUAAUUUAACGGUUUUAGAGAAAAACAUAUUUUUUCGGUUUUCUUGGGAAAGUAAAUUUUGCAGUUUUUGCGAGAAAAUGUGAUUUAUGGUCUUGACGGAAAACAUGAUUUCACGGUUUGGCGAGAAAAUGCAUUUUUGCGGUCUUGGCAAAAAUGCGUUUUGUAGUUUCUGCGGAAAAAUGUGUUUUGCAGUUUUGGUGGGAAAAUAUAUUUUUGCGAUUUUGGCGGAAAAAUACGUUUUUGCAGUUUUGGCGGGAAUAAGCAUUUUUGUUGUUUUGGUGGGAAAAAUCCAAUGCGUUUUUGCGGUUUUGGCGAGAAAAUGCAUUUAACCGGUUUUGGCAGGAAAUGUGUUUUGAGAUUUUAGCGGAAAAGGGAGUUUUUUGUGGUUUUGGUAGGAAGAAAACAUUUUUUUUUUGUUUUUUCGGCAAAAAUUGUAUUUUUGUGGUAUCAGUGAAAAAUGCGUCUUUUGCAGUUUUGGUGGAAAAUGUAUUUUUCUGGUUUUGACAGGAAAAUACAUUUUUGUGUGUUUUGGUGAAAAAUAUAUCUAAACUUUAAUAUAAAUAUUUAUUAGAAAAAAAGUAAAUUUGUUAUUGUUAUUUGGAUAGGUUCAUUUACAUCCAGAUGCACCGAUUAAACAUAUCUCAAUGAAUCAUCUAGAUAAAUUUUAUUUUAGUCUAAAAAUUUGAAACUCAUAUUAAUGGGUAAUUCAAAUGAUUUGUAAUUUUAAGCGUAAACGAACAACUUAUCUCCAUUUAAAUAGAUCAUUUUUAGAUGGUGAAACAAACAUGCCUCAAACUUAACAUUUAGACCCAAAAAAAAAAAAAAAAAAUGCCUCAAAACGUAGCCGUGCAAACAACCUCACUCAGGAAAGACCGAAGUCAAAGACGACAGCGGAGAGGCGGAAGCAAGAGAAGCGGAUAGGACUAACUUUUUUGGUUGGUAACUAUUUUUGUUUGGAUAGAAGUGAGAAUGUUUUCUCUCUCUACUUCGCCUUCUUAUAUAUUCAAAACAUGUCAUGGGCAAGUUUUUAAAGACAAAUGGCAAGAAGUGUACAGGUUCUGGCAGAACAGAAGUGUUCAGGUUCUGGCAGAACAGAAGUGUUGAUUUAUAUUCUAUGAACGUGGUAGAUCUACAAUUUGAUUUUUUUAUAAGAGAUAGGGUAAGAAUAAGUUAUUCAUAUUAUAACAUUCAUGUGCUAUGCAAAAACAUAAAACAAAGAAGUGAUAGUAGUAAUUAUCCAUGCAGUGUCCAAUAAUAUAAUCAAAGAUGAGAAAAAAAAAUAUUCUUGAUAGUUAAUAUUGGAUAUGAUCAAUUAUUUGUUAAAUCCGGGAUAAGAAUAUAUUUUUUUUGCUAAGAAUGUUAAUAUCAUUAACUAGUAAUGAAAUAGAUUACAAGAAACUUGAAUCAAAAAGCUUUAAAAAACUAGUUUAGUUGAACAAACCGCAAAAAGUUAAAAAAACUUGUAGAACAUAAUAGGACUAAUCUAGUGAACAAGAUUAAUGCUAAGACUAAAGAUGUGUUGCUUUGCACUAUACACUUGAAGAGUUGUGAUGGCUGAACCACCUUAAGCUGGAACCUGCAAAUGAAAUCAUUAUGUCUCAAAGAAGACUGAUAACCAGAGGGCCCCUUGGGUGGGAGGCUGCAAUUGCAUUAGCCAGAAGAGGUGACCAAGCUCUGCAUCAGCCCAUACAACACUACAAACUCCAGAAAUACCAACAACAGCAAGCCUUGAGAGACUCUUGAGCUUCACGGUGUGGAAGCAGGCGGUAGGGAAACUACAUAAACCGGCCACAAACCAAGUCGGAAGACUCGACGAGACUUAAAAGAAAGACAGCUAACAUCUUUGGGCAGCCAUAAAACAAUCAAAUGAUUUUAGGACAGUGAGAGGCAGAGCUCUCAAAUCAGGCGAGAGCUACGGCGAAGGUGAGACGCCACGGCGGCUAAGAUUGCUCAAUCAAAAGCUAAGCUGCAUCCACCUCCCAAUGUUCUAUGAAGUAUGUACAUAUAUUACAUAAACCCAUCAAGAGCUUAUUGAAACGUGUAAAAAAACUGACUUAUGCUGAAUGUGGAUAGUAAAAUAACAUAGUUACAUACGGGAUCCUCCGAAUGAUAUUUGAGUAUAUACUAGCAAAAAUGUCAUAUAGACACAUAUAACUGAUCAUAAGAACUAACACUAUAUCGAUACUAGAAAGUCAAAUCUUCAGUAGACGUCUAUCCUUUUUGGAGAUUUGAACUCCCUUCUUCAGAUGGUGAAACAGAAAACAUCCAUCACUCACUCAUUUCCGGUCAACGGACUAACUAUUGGCGGGAAAAUCAUAUCAAGAAAGGAAUAUGCGAUAACCGAUCCGGUUUAAACCCGGUUCAAAAAUCUAAUUUAAUAUAAAUACCGCGUCUUAUCUCUUUCCAUCAUCAUCUUCUUCCUCUGCGACUCUGUUCUCACCACACACACACACAACCACCAUGCUUUCCCUCACCGCAACCACUCUCAAACCCUCAAUCCUCUCCCUUUUCACCAAACCCAAACCCAACGGGCUAUCUCCCCACCCAAUUACCCGACCCGUUAACCCUUCACCCUUCACCGUCAGCGCCAGCUUAAUCCCCGCUUCGAACCGCCAAGCCCCAGCAAAACAGAACCUUUACCAACCUUUACGCCAUCCACCGUCCCCAAUCCCUCCAAAGUUCCGAUCUUUAGACACCGCCGGGAAAAUCGAGGUCCUCGCCGACCGCAUGGGCCUCUGGUUCGAGUACGCCCCCCUCAUCUCCUCCCUCUACACCGAAGGCUUCACCCCUCCCACCAUCGAGGAGCUCACCGGAAUCUCCGGCGUCGAGCAGAACUGCCUCAUCGUCGGGGCUCAGGUCCGCGACUCCAUAGUCCAGUCCAACGCCAAGCCCGAGCUCAUCGCCGCGUUCGAGACCGGAGGCUCGGAGCUUCUCUACGAGAUCCGUCGUCUCAGCACGGUCCAGCGUGUUGCCGCCGCUGAGUACAUCGUCGAGCACGGGUUCGACACCAAAGGAGCGCACGAUCUUGCUAGAGCUAUUAAGGAUUACCCUCACCGACGAGGAGACAAAGGAUGGGAGGAGUUUGAUUACAACUUGCCCGGGGAUUGUCUGUCUUUCAUGUUGUAUAGGAAGAGCAGAGAGCAUAGGAGCCCCUCUGAGCUGAGGACUACGCUGCUUGAGCAGGCGCUUGAGGUUGCUGUGACUGAGAAAGCCAAGAAAGCUGUGGGGAGGGAGUUGCAUGGAUACAGCGAUGAGGAGAGGGCUAAGGAAGAGGAGGUUAAGAUCAUUCGCGUUCCUGUGGUGAGGCUGAAGUUCGGGGAAGUGGCGGGAGCGAGUUCGGUUGUUGUGUUACCGGUGUGCGAAGCUGAGGAAGGGGUGGGGAAGAUUAGCGAAGCUCCGAUGGAGUUUGAGUCGGGUGGGGAGUUUGGUGUUGUGGAGGCUGAGAAGGAAUGGAGGAGAUGGGUGGUUUUACCGGGUUGGGAUCCGGUUGUGGCGGUUAGGAGAGGAGGAGUUGCGGUUUCGUUUAGGGAUGAUAGGAAAGUGUUGCCGUGGAACGGGAAAGAGGAGGCGGUAAUGGUGGUGAUGGAUAGGGAGAAGAAGACGGUGGAGGCUGAGGAUGGGUACUAUUUGGUUGUGACUGAAGAUGGGAUGAAGUUGGAGAGAGGUUCGGUGUUGAAGGAGAGAGGAGUGGAGGAGUGUUUAGGGAUGGUUGUUUUGGUGGUGAGGCCGCCUAGAGAUGAUGAUGAUGAGUGGCAGAUAAACGAUGAUGAAUGGGACUAGAAGAGUGAUACAUUUGAGAAUACUAGUGUUACCAAGUAACUUCCAUUAAUACUAUACUCCAUGUUUUUGGCAAAUAUGUAAUUCUUGGUUUGAUUAUGUCAUUAUGUUUUUCUUACAGCCUCUGUCUAAAUAUGAUGAAAUGUGAUUCUCACCAUAGUUUAGACUUGAAGCUACAUUUUUUGUGUAGCUAAGAAUAAGUAGGUGGUGAUUAGAGAUAAACAUUGCAGCUUCUACUUGCUUGAUAUGGCUGAUACAAGUAUGAGCUGGUCAAUAUUUCUUACACGGUCAAUAAGUGUAAGAUAGUUCUUGGUUAGUGUAAUCAAGCCGAUCCUUUUAGAUCAUAGACUCUGUUAGGAGAGUGUCUAUGAGCGUAUGAAACGUUUGUGCAUAGUCAUCGCCAAUGCUCAGGCCAUUUUGAUUCUCUGCAGUAACAAGGGGACGUUCCUGCCUCCAUCUUACCAGCAAGUACUGUUGAAGUAUAUGUAAGCAGCUCUUCAUGGUCAACACUUGAAGAGAAUGCCUGCACAGGAUUUUUGAAUAAAGACAUUGUGGUUCUCCCAGUUUGGGGAUUUUUGCUCCCUUGCCUUUGUUUACUUUUAUUUUUCAUUGAUUUAAUGACAAACAUUUAAAAACAUUUAUAUAGAACCGUUUGGAAAGAGACUUUCUUAUAAUUUCUCACAAGAGAAAGAAAAAGGAACUAAACAAGUAUAACUUAAACCCCAAAAAAAAAACUGAUUAUAUGAAAAAAGAAACAAAAAAAAAAGGAUGAAGUGAAACAGAAUCCAGAAAAAGAUGUCAAAGUUUACUAUAAUAUUACAGUGAACCAAGAAAACAAAAAAAGCAUCACAGUCUAGUUUUGCCUCUCUGCCAUUGCAAUGAAAUAUCCUUGGGACAUUGUAUGAUAUGAUUGAUUCAUGCUCAACUUCACUUUCCAUCAUAAACCUCUACACACCUUCUUCAGAAACUAGUGUACUAAGCUGACAUUUACUCAUAGUCCCCAUUUUCUGAUGACCCAUUUCCUCUCAUUCCUGACCAACAUCACAAUAGUACAAACACACAAACAAAAACACUCUUACUAAAGCUAAAAGCAUUGCUAAAAAGGAAAAAAAAAAAAUACAAAUGAAAAUAAACAAGUGGUUAGCUUUCUUAUUACCUGACAAAUCGUAACCAGCACCGCCCCAUUCAGAAGGCCUGGCAUGUGACAUGUGCAUGCCCUGAGGUGGUUGCAUCAUGAAAUGAGCUCCACCACCCAACGCACCACCACUAGUCAUAGUGUGAUGCUCAUUGUUUAGAUUUCUUCCGGAAGAUUCCAUACUUGGAUGAUAGACAUGCAAAGAUUCCGUGCCAGAAGGAGAAGGCAGCAAGCUUCCACUUCCUGAAGCAUCAUCUCCUUUCACAUCAUUUCCUCCAUCCUUCUUUUUCUCUAGCUGAAAUGUACCCACAAUCACCUGCAAAAGGAAACCAAAGACAAACUCAUCAAACUUGCAAAUAAUUAAUGAAUCUCCUUUCUAAGUUCAGUAUCUGGUAUUAAUUUAGUGGUAUAAGAUAAGAGGAAAAGUACUUGAACUGGACCAGCAGCCUUAAGGAGUCCCCCAACUCUUCCACCGAUGAUCUGACCAUCUGAACCAGAUAAACAAAUGCUAAGGCCACCAGUUUUCCCACCGUGUUCGCUCCGAAUAUAAGAUCCACUCAGUGAGAGGAUCUCGUAAUGACCCUGAAUACAAGUUUGUAAUUCUUAAACAAGUUAAUAAAAUUAUAUGCAAAUCUCACGCAUGUGUGUAAGAAUCUUUAGCUGUAAUGUAAGUUUGAUUGUAACAAAACCGGUAUAGACUUCUCAAAACACAUAUUGCACUUGACACAAGGUGAAAUUAAAUAGUCCCAAAAAGAGACCAGUUUUAUAGGCUCUAUUUCUCUAAGAUACAGUGAACAGAGAAUUAAUUCAUCAUCAGCUCAGAGAAUUAAGAUAGCCCUUCCCAAAGUCCAAUCCUUUUUGUAGGAACAAGAGAAUCACCUGAUAAGAUACACUGGUUCCUGUCGCGAUGUGAGACAAGGAUGCACUAGAGAUGGCGCCAGAUGCAGAAAGGAUGCAUAUCUCAUGCUUGCUUUGCUCAGCGAAAAGUAUAAUUUUCUGAGCCACAUCCUAUCAAAUAAAUCCAGUUUGUAAUACCAUCAGUGAAACAGCAGAAUACCUUAUGAACGAGCUCUAUAGCAAAACCUGAAGCUGGAUUGCGUUUAAAACCAAAUCAUAAUAUCAAAACCAGGCCUUCAAAUUAGUACCAUAGAACAACACUCACCUCACCAGGAGUUAUACUAACAAUGUGUGGAGUAAAACUUUGCCCAGUUUUCCCUGCAACAAGAAACAAAAAAACUAAUAUGAAACUCAAAAAUAACAACAACAACAACAACAAGAGAACACCACUCUAGAAGGUAAACUGGUAAUCAAAGUGAUCUUAGAAACUGAUUUGAAUAAGUCAACAACAAGAGCAGAUCAAUGUUAUUGCAAAACUGAAAUGAUGUGUACUGCCACAAGCUCAAAUGUAAACAAAGGCAGCAAAAUAAUACAAUAUAAGAAAACAAGAAUCUACCAAUUCUUCAAUGUUUAUGGAAGCAAAGAGAGUGUUUAUGGAAACACAAGAAUAUAAAGAAGAGCUUUAUUACCAAAACUAAAGUUAUUUACUUCGCAGAUCAACCCUAGGAAGGAGAAUCUACACUAGAUUAUCACAUAGAACUCGAGCGAUUUCACGAUUCAAGAUCAAUCUCACCAUAAAGUUCAUUACUUUACACAAAAGCGAAAAGGGUUUUCAAAAAGAGAGAGACUUUACGCACCGACAUAGCCCGAGAGGCCCUUUCUCGACCCGGAUUUAGACGGAGGAGGCGAUACGCCGGCGGCGGCGGCUUGCUCCCUCCUCUCUCUAGCGGAGGAAUUGCUAGCGGAAGACGCCAGUUUCUUAGCGGCCAGGGCCUGAGCAGGCGUAUCGUACUUCCUGGGACGGCCUCUCUUCCUCUUGACGGGAUCAAUCGGAGCCGUGACGGCGGAGGAGGGAACGGAGUGAGGGUAGACAGGGAGAGAGGAGGAAGAUCCAUCGUUCGACGGUGGUGGGGAUGUCAGAUUACCAUUGUUGGUGGAGGUGGUUGGCGGUGCGGCGGAGACGGUGGUGGGAUUGUGGUGGUGGAAAGGAUGGUAGUAAGGAGAAGUGAGAUGGUGAUGGUGAUGCUGCUGCUGCUGCUGCUGCUGCUGCUGCUGGUGGUGCCUUUCGUUAGGUUCCAUUGCUUUUUUAGAUAAGAGAGGAAGAAAAAAAUAAAAAUUGUAUUUUUUUUUCUUUUCUUUUCUUCUCUUAAUUUUUCUUUUUCUUUUAGGGUUUUUAUGCUUUACAGAUUUUUUUAUUUCUUUUCCUAUAAACGAAAAGGUUGUCGUGUUGUCGUCUUCUGGGGUUUUGAUGUGUUCUCAGCCGUUGGAUUGUACUUUUGACUUCAUUUGUUGACUUUUUGUGUGUUUCUUCUUUUUGGUUUAAGUUUAUUAAUUAGGGGUAAGCUGAUCUUAUCAUUAUAUCUUCUUUAAUUCUUCUACUUUGUCAUUUCCAGUAGGCCUACCAGGCUACCACCACUACCUACGGAUAGGGUGGCUGGACCAUUUCUUGUUUGGUUCAUUUCGAUUCAACUCAAUUCAGAUUUGGAGGUACAAAAAAAGUGUGUGGACUGUGAAGGGGUUGUAACAUCAUACUAACUUUGGUGAUCAAGCAAGCGGUCAUAACCAGUGGCUCUAAUGGUUUAGUGUAUCGUGUAUUACACUUUUGACGCCUCGAUAAGAUUUUAUCUUAAAAGAUCUUUUUAGUUUUCAUAAGUAUUGUUAAUACCUUUGUUUUCAAAAUAAAGAUUUUAUCUUAUAAGAUUUUUUUGGUUUUUACAAGUAUUGUUACAAUGUAAUCCUUCGUUUUCAAAAUAAAGAUUUUCUUUUAUAAUAUUCACACAUAUUCAAAAUAUAAAGAAUGUUUAUAAUUAUAUUUAUUAUGUAUUUUUACUAUGCACUUUCAAUAGCUAUCAAAUAAUUUGGCAUGAUUAGUUCAAUUGUGGUUGUAAAAUUUACCUGUAAAAUUUUAGUCGUAAUUAAGGGGGGCUUAUUGUACUAAGGAUUUGGAAAAAUACUAGGGAUUUCGUAUAUGGUGGGAUUUAGAUGGGAUUUAAGUGAAUCUAUUUGGAUUUUAAGGAUUUUAUCAGGGGUUUUUGUAGAUUUUUUUAUUAAGGUUUUUGAUGUAUUCAAAUUUGUUGUACCAGUAAGCUAUAGGUUAUAGAUAUUUUAAAAUAAAAUAAACUAGAUUCUAACCCGCACAUCCGUGCCGGUAAAAAUUUCAUUUAUAGAUAUUAAAUAUAUAUUAUUUUGUAUAUAAUAAUUUAUGAUAAUAUAUUGCUGUCAUUUUAAAAAUAACUUAAUAGAUGAUAUAUAGUUCUAAAUAUUAAAAUUUAACAUAUGUUAACAAUUUUAUUUUUUGUAAAAAAUUAUUACUUAAUUUAUGAAUAAUAAUCAUUUUAAAAGGUGAAUGAUAUUUUAGUCACUUUAAACGGUGAAUGAUAUUUUAUUUAUUUAUAUUAAUGAAAGUAUUUUUCAAAAUAUAUUGGUUACCAAUUCAACAUAAUUUUAAUAUGUUUGCACAAAAAACAUAAUUUUAAUAUGUAAUUCAUUAAUUACUUAUAUUUUAAUAUAAUGUAGAAUAUACUUAUAAAAUUUAUAAAAUUAACAUAUAAUUUCAUUAUUUUGUUUAUAAUAAAAAUUUAAUUAAAAUUAAUUUAUAAUCAUAUUAUACUACUAAUUGUGAAAUUAAUAAGUGUAUUAAUUAAAAGAAUAUUUAAACUUUUAACAAGAUUUUGUUAGAUUUUUUUCAACAGAUUUUGUUAUUCCUAAAACUAAAAGUUAAAUUUAUAGUUUAAAUAGAUUUGUUAUUAAUAUCCUUAUAAUUAUUUAGAAAUGAUAUACAUUAAAUAAACUAAUGUAAACAAUAAAAAAAUUAUUUGAAUAUAUGAACAUAGACUUCCAGUAUGACUAUUUUGUAGUAGAUAAAAAUGGUAAUUAUCUUUUAAUAGAGAAGAUAUUUUAAUAUUUAAUUCAUAUAUUACGUCUAUUUUAAUAUAAUAUAGACAUAAUUAUAAAAUUUAUAAAAGGUUAGCAUAUAAUUUUAUUUAUCUUUGUUUUAUAAUAAAUUUGUAUUUAAAAUUAAUUAUAAUAAUAUUUUAUUACUAAUUACAAAAUUAUUUAAUUUAUUAAUUAAAAGCAAUAUUUAAAAAAAUUAAUUAGAUUUUGUCAGAUUUUUUCAACAUAUUUUUAAUUUAAUAUCUUUAUAAUUAUUAAAAUUUUAGAAAUCUUAUAUAUUCAAUAGAUUAAUGUAAAUAAUUAAUAUAUAUGUAAUCAAGGAAAUAAACCUAUUAUGACUUUUUUGUGGUAGAUAAAAGUGGUACUUCUCUUUUAAUAGAGAAGAUAUGUGAAAUGUGUGAUGUAUAUAUAAAGUAAUUAUUUUUACCGAUUAAAAUAAUUUAUAUUUUAUUUUUUAUAAAUUGUCAAUAUUUACUGUUAUUUAAAAUGUGAUAUGUAAAUAAUAUUUUUGUCAUUUAAAAUAUUUCAUAAUUUUAAAAACAUCCAAAUUAAAUUAAAAUAUUAUAGAUAUUUUUAGUAUGAUUAUCUAAUUUAUUUGAUAUUAUAGAUUAUUUUAUUUUAUAGAUUCUAUAGUUUAUAAAAUUUUUAUUAUGAUUAUCUAAUUUAUUUGAUAUUAUAGAUUAUUUUAUUUUAUAGAUUCUAUAGUUUAUAAAAAAUGUAGAUUUUUUGCAUAAAAUACAUCAGAAAAAAUUUUCUUUAAUUUUUUUUAUUGUGGCUUUAAAAGUAAAGAUAAAAUAUAAUUGGUAAAAAUUAAUAGAAACUUGUUGUAGAUUUUAACUUUUAAAGAUAAAGUUACAACAUGAUUGGUAAAAUUUAAUGCUUUAAAAAUAAAUAAAUCUAAAGUAGAGAGAUAACCCAACCAAUCAUCUCCUUGAAAUAUUUUCAAUUUGUUUUUAAAGUGUACAAAAUCGUAAAACAAAAAAAGUUUAAAAAGUUGUGAUUUGUGAAAGCACCUAACCAACUGUAAAUCACAUUAAGUAUAUAUAGGGUUUAGUUAUUAAAUUCAAUUGUGUUCAACACCUAACAUAAUCUACUUUAAGCAAAACCUUAUGGUUUAGGAUUACAGCGGAUACCAGACGAAGAUUUAGUCAUUUAAUUAUCUUGUUAAUGUCUUUAGACUCUUUACCGAGACAAUAUAUAGUAUGAUCUACUAAGCAAUGCACACCCAGCAAGAGUUCUUGACUCUAAAAUGGCUUUUAGUUUUAGAAGCCAUUAGUUCUAGAGAGCUAAUACGCAAUGGAUAGAAGACUUGUUCACUAUUUGUCGAAGGUCACGGCAGAUAAACGGCAAAUGAUAAAAGAAAAAAAAAAUUGAAAGAUCGAUACAAUUAUUAAAAUAAAAAGAGGUUCGUUCUCAGUAGAGUUAAACCCAUAGUUGCAAAUGUAACAACAAGAAAGGAAUGACUAUCCGUGCUCCUUCAGUCCUUGUGCAUCAGCAUAUCGACUAGCUAUGCAUGUGAUUAGAGGUGAUGACUUAUGAGAGUAACUUUUUAAGUAUAUACGCAUGAAUGCAUGAGAACAUUUUCUUUUUUUUUUUGGUAAAAGAACUCGAAAACUAUUAAUCUAAUAAACGCCGCAGUAACGAAAAACGAAGCAGACGACAGAGAGAUCAGAGAUGUAUUCGAAUGCAUGAGAACAUUCAUUGCGUGAUCAUAGUUUCACGAUUUAUUUAGGAUUUGGAAUAAAGAAUUUUUUACUUUUUAUAGAUUUUGUGCCAUUUUGAACAAACGCCACUGGUUUUGAUGUUUUCUCGUUUGGCAUAAACGACAUUUAAUUUGUUUGAUCUGUCCUUUAUUACUACGUAGUUCAUGCAUUAAAACAAGUCUUUUUCAACUUUUGCAUAGUCAUUUGCUACGUUACACGGAAGCUUCAUCGGACGUACGCUUCCCGCUUCGGAACCGGAAUCGGAAUCGGAACCUUGUGGAAGCUUACGGAAUCUCGCUUCCAAAACGCUUCUAAAAUAUUCUCUUUAAAAACACGUUGGAAGCUUACGAUUCCAUUUUGGAAUCACGCUUCCAUUCUUUAAAAAAAAAACAUAAUGUCUUAUAUCAAUAAAAUAUAAAAUUUUAAUUUUAAUUUAUAUAAAAUCCAAAUUUUAAUAGUAUUGAAUAGAUUGAAUAGAAAUAUAAAACAACUAAAAUUAAUACUAUAAAUUAUCUUUAUGCAUUGAGAUAUUUAUUAAAGAUAAAUCAUAUAUUCAAAUAUAUUAUGUCAAUUAAUUAUAAAGUAAUAAAAAUAAUUAAUAUAAUAAUUUAAUUUAUGUGUAUUUUACAGUUUUAAUACGAAAUCAUAUAAUUAUUAUAAAUAUAAAUGAUUUAUUUUAAAUUUAAAUCAUAUAAUUUUUAGUUCUAGAUUUUUUAAAAAGAUUCUUAUAUAUGUAUAUAUAUAUAUACAUACGUUUCCAAUACGUACCCGCUUCCUAAUUUUUUAAAAAAUCUCGCUUCUGCGCUUCCAUACGCUUCCGCUUCCACGUACCCGCUCCCGUUCAUCAACAACUUUUUAUUAUCAACUUUUUAUUAUCAACUUUAAUAAUACUUUUUAUUAUCAUGGAGAGAAGAUCUCACAUCGGAAAUAUGAAAGGGACUUGAGUAAUAUAUAAGGAAUUUGGGCCAAUCCACUAAUUGCCAAUUGGGUUUAAGUUAGAUGCCCAGAAAACUUAUCAUGGUAUCAGAGCCGACCCAAUACCCUGACCCAUUAAGCCGGCCCGGACAGUGGCCCGAUCAUCUCAUUAGCUGAUGGCCCAUAGAAGGCUCAGUUUCGCCGAGAUUGCUAGAAAAAUAAAGCAUGAUUUCGGAGGGAGGGUAUUGGAGAGAAGAUCCCACAUCGGAAAUAUGAAAAGGACUUGAGUAAUAUAUAAGGGACUUGGGCCAAUCCACUAAUUGCCAAUUGGUUUUAAAUUAGAUGUCCAGGAAACUUAUCAAUAGAAAAAAAAAUUGAAAGAGAAAAAGAGAGCACACGAAUUUGUUUAUGUUAAUGCUCUGAUACCAUGUCAAGAAACCUAGAGAAGUAUGAAAGAGUUUCUUGUAUUGAUAAGGUCAAUGACCGCAGGUAUAUAUACAUACGAGUAAACCUAGUUCUAGAGUAUCUUUACAUAAUCAUACAAUAGGAAUAUUUACAUAACCGUCAAAUACGAAUAUAUUCUACGUAUAUAUCCAUAGUACCCCUCUCAAGUUGGAGAGUGAAGAUCAAGAACUCCCAACUUCGGUAGAAAAUCAUCAAACUCUUUACGCCCACGAGGUUUAGUAAAUAUGUCAGCAAGCUGAUCAUGCGUAGAGACAUGUUUAGUAGCGAUGAAACCUUUGACAAUCUCAUCUCGAAUAAAACCUUCAAAAUACCAUUUGUUUUACUUAAAAGAUUCUAAAUCAAUCAAAAUAUAUAAACCAAUAACACCUAAGUCAACUCGUUUCUAAACAAAAAAAAACACUAACUAAAUAAAAGUUGACGAAUUAUACCACCUCAACGAUGGUGAAUCUAGUCUUCUUCUAUUCUUAUAUAGCUUCUUCUAACAGCCUGUAAAUUUCACAAAUCAAAGUGAUUCAGUCACCAGUCCGAAAAAGGAUGAUGAUUUUCGUUGGGCGAUCAUCACCAAAGGCUUUACCUGCUGCUCUCCAUUAUUAAGAUCACCGAGGCAUGAUUUCAUAAGUUGUUUUAGUGGAGAAACAAAGGAAAAGGGAUAAAGAAAGAGAAAUUGCACCCAAUAACUCAACAAAAAACCAAAAUUAACAAACUAGCCAAAAUCACACUCUCUUUCUUCUUUUCUCUUCCUAUAUCUCUCUAGCCUCUCUCUAAAAAAACUAAUUUUGAUUUUGUUUUGGUUAUUUCACAAAUAACCCCAUAAAGAAAGUUGUUGCCAAAAAAAAAGGGAUAAAGAAAGAAUCCCAAAAUAGAUAAAAAUGAAGAUAUUUUAAUAGAUACUUGCGGUGAAUAAAAUCUUGGUAAAUAUCAAACUAAAAGAUAUGAGCGUUAUAAACAAGGAAGAAUUUGCCCAAUAUACAAAACACUAAUGUAAAUGAAAAAUAUAUCAGCGAGUUUGACAUAAUUAAUUUGCUAACAUUUAGGCAAAGAAAGGUCCGGUUUUGUCCUUUCAACGUACAGGUUGCCGGUUACUGGUAGAGAUGAGAUGGUGAUUUAGCAUCACACAAGAAACCGAAAGCAACGUCACCAAUUUCUUUACCAUAUGCAGAAAAAGACAACACACUGUAAAACAUAAUGGAAAACAAAUAUACAGUAUAGUAAGUAACUUCUAAUAGAACAUAAUCCUAUAAAUAAUGCAAAUAUAAUAUAGAUGUAACAUAACAUAGGUAAAUAAUGAACCACUGAAUCCUCCUAUACUCAAACCCCUACUUAGUAAAUCGAAACCCUAGGUAGGAUCCUAUAAACCCAAAUACAAUCAAUAAAUUACUUUUGAAAUCACAUUUACUUGUUCAAUAAAUAAUACAUAGUAUGGAUCUUAUAUAAAAUAGUAUAUAAAUGUAUGUUAUAUUUACAUUAGUUGAGCAUCAUAUGUAAAAUAGUAUAAAAAGAAAUAAGAGCAUUUGUUGAUGAAAAUAACAUCUUUGAACUAGACAUGAUCCUACGUUUGUGAAACAUUCAGAUGAAACUAAAUUUAUAUAAUAUAGAGAAACGUAAAGAAUAGAACACUAUAUCUAAUAGUAUAGUAAUCUUACAUAAAUAACCGCAAUAAAAGAAUACAUACAAUACUAUAAUUCUACCGAAUAUAGUAUAGUCUGCAACUUCAUCUUCUUCACCUCAUCCUUUUUUCAGACAUAAUGAUAUACAUUUAUUGGUCCACCAUUGUUAUUCUUCAUCACCAUAUAAAUUCAAAAAGCAUGACACAUCCAUAUAUUCAUCGGUCAACCGUUAAGCAUUAAUUGAGGUCCCAUUCCAUCGUUUUCACACGACCAUCGUUCUUAGAAUCCGAGGAGCAUCUUUUUUCCGUCAUCGAUCAAGCUUUCGUAAACGGUCUUCUUCUUAACACAACGUUGCCAAUGAAGCUAUCGAUGACAUCUCAGUCUCCUUCAAUGAAACUAUCCACCUUCCCCAAUUUUAGUAAAUAAAAACUUAUGAGAGAGGGAUGUGUGAAAAGUAUAAGGCCACGAUUUAUUGUUUUACAUUAACCAUUUAUUAAUUAAUAUAAUUUUUGUUGCAGGUUGCACCGGUUAUGAAGAAGGGCAAAAUCGCAUUAUUAUAUAAAAUAUAUUGUCUAUGUGUGGAACUUAGGUCAAUUUGUUAGAUAUUGAAUUAUAAUUUUUUUUUGUGAUAUAUAGUGCAAUUUCCCUAUAAACAAAGCGUGUAUAAUGCAAAUACUCUUUAAUUAAUAUAUAUAUAAGUAGUAAAAGAAAAUUGUAACUAUACCCCGCCCUUGUUCUUCUGCUUCUUCCUGGCUAGCGCCUCUCUCUAACCUCUCUCUCUCUCAAACUCGCCAGUCCUAUCGAUUCUCCAGGUAUGUUCCUCUUGUUAACCCUUCUCCCGUAGAUUCAUUUACAGUACGCAAAGUUGUCUAAUUUUUCCUAAGUUUCGACAAACCCUAAUCGCUUCAUAGGAAGAGCUUUAACCUUUACAAUCAAUCUUCCUCUUACCAGGUUUGGUGGGUACAAAUUCAAAAGCCGAGCGAGAUGCCGGUCUCUCUUAAGCAGAAUAUGAAUGUUGAGAUCCGUGAGAUGAUCAGUAGGGAUCCAUGGUACGCUUUCUGUUUAUGGUUUUGACCUAGCGGGAUGCCGAUCUCCCUUAAACGGGAUAUGAAUGUUUAGAUCUGUGACAUGUUGAUCGAUAGACAGUUGAUCGAUAGGGAUCUCUCUUUUGUGUGUUUCAGGUCAUUGAAACAACCAAGACACGUUUUGGGAAUCAUCUUUGCUCUCGUGGCUUUCAUCUGUGUUCUCGAGUUUCUCGUCAUUCCAUCCCAAGGUCACCUGUCUACUAACCUGAGAUUCUUAGUUUCUGGAGCCUGUCUACUCACCUGGGCUUCUACACUCAGCAGAUCAUUUGCAUUCUACUGCAUAUGUUCCCAUUUAUAUGGUCUGUUCGUGGCUAGCUUUCUUCUUUUCUAUCAGGUUUAGUAUCUAUUUUCUUGUUUUGUUUUAAGUGUGCAUUUUGGCUAGAAUUUGUUUUGAUAAUUGAUUUUUUUUUAUUGUGUGUAUGCAGGUAGUGAAGCGACUACCAAAGAAAUUGAGCUCUUCUGCAGUGUUCAUGUACACAACUCUGGUAAAAUUUAUCUGUGUUUCUUUUAUUGUCUCUCUCAUUAUCUAAAUCACUGAGUUUUUUUCACAAGUUCUUUUCUUUCUUUAUUUUUUGUCAGAUUGGUCUUACUGUUGUCAGUCUUCCCUACAUACCCGGUUGGUUUGAAGUUAUUCGAGAAACAUAUGCACUUACACGCAAAUUUAGGAAUGUUGUAAGUUGAAUUACAUUUACUUUGGCUACUGAUGUAGUUUUGUGGUAUGCUAAGCUCCUAUGGUUUUGCAGGGCGAGCUGGCUAUAGUGAUUAAUACACGAUUAUUUGAAACACAAUUUGGAUUGAUUGCUAUCAAUUCAGAGCUCCUCUUGGCGUACGAUGGGUCCAUUGACAUAGGCAUAUCUCGUGUCAUGUCUUGGUUCAUUCGAAUUUGGGCUACGGUUUUGAUUCUUCAGGUAUGAAUAAUUAAGAUUAAUAGGUCCUUUGUUUUUGCUUUGAUUAAGAAUAAUUGAAAGUCAUCUUGUUUGAACAACAUUGUUGUCUCCAGAGCUCAGAAGAUACUCGCCUUGCUGCAAGAUCGUCGGUAUGUGUACUUGUUGUCUCGCCUUUACUGAGGAUGAUCACCAGAUUAAUUAUCCCAGAUCGUGGGUAAGUGACAGUCAGUUGAUCAUGUAUCUAAUAAGCUAUAUUCCCUGAUAUAUCACAGAUGCAAAUGACUUAAUUGUUUUUCUUGCGCAGGAUUCUGAUGGCCAAACUACUAAUCAUGAGGGAUGCAAUUAGAGAUGUUGUAGGACCAUUUGUCUGGAGUUUAAUCAUUUUACAGAUUUACUCUCAUAGAUGUUGGUUACUAAUUAUUAGUCAUUGAACCUUAAUGUGCUUGAAAUGAAACAUAAAACUUAAUGUGGUUGUUCAAUGAUUUUUUCAGUAAAGGAGGAAUUUGUAAGAAGCUAUGGAAAAUCGGUACGAAAGAAGAUGAAGAGGAGACUAGAAACAUCUGUUACUGUUGGUGAAAGUCAUACCCUUGUCUCGCAUUUUCCUGCUCCCCCUAGGAUCAAAUUCUCCAGUGGCAAGGUAUGCAAGUCUUAAAAGAAUGUCGUUUCUGUUAGUUCGGUCGUUGCUUGUGCAUCUACCGGUUAUAUUAUGUGGAUGUGUGUAUAUCUACAGCUUUAGUAUUUGUUGCUUUAUGAUUUAUGAUCAAGUAGGUUGAACAGGUAUAUGACCCUUUUGUUCCUAAUAGCUAUCCAAGUGGCUCUGAGCUUACUGUUCUUUUAGUUGUUUUGAUUAUUGAAGAGAAUUGGUUCAAACCACAGUACCACCAGUUUUCCUCAUCGUUAUGGGAACACUGUCUGGUUCACCCUUGGUUCUUGCCUUCUGAAAUAUGAUUAGCAAGUCACUAGUUCACUCUCUCUAGUCGUUGGACGUACUUUUUAUAUGCUUCACCCCUCAUUUUAUGCCUUACUACAACUCUUACUCGCUAGAUGUGUAACUUGAGAUUAUUUUUCUUUAAUAGAUUCACGUUUCCCAUACUUCCUUUCAUUCUACUUCAUCUUUUCAUGCUUAUGGUGGCAGGGGCCAGGACCUGAUGCACGUGUAGUCUACAUAGCUGGUGCGUUUGAUCUUUUCCAUGCUGGCCAUGUUGGGGUAUUGUAUUAAAUUCCAAGUCAUUAUGCUCAGUAUGUUAUUCAUUUCAAGACUGAGUUUGUAUUUCUUUUGUCGACAUAUCUGAGCGCUAACCUAUAAAUCAGAUACAUAUGGAUGCUUACCAUAUAUGUUUGUCGACUAUUGCAACUAGAAUUGCCUAAAUAAUAUUGAGCGACCAUAUUUAUUCUGCUAAUGUGAACUCUUGUUCUUGAUUUAAUCAACUUUGUACAGAUUCUCAGGCGUGCUAGAGAGCUUGGCGACUUUCUUCUUGUUGGAAUACAUAAUGACCAGACCGUGAGGUAGUCAUAAAACUCAAAUCAUCAUCCAAAAAAAAAAAAAGUCUUGGUUGUGUUGAGAAGUUUAGAUUUGCAUCUUUGCUUAAAAUCGUUAUUAUUGCUGUGCAGUGCUAAAAGAGGAGGGCACCCCCCAAUCAUGAGUAUGCAGGAAAGGAGCUUAAGUGUUGGGGCAUGCCGCUAUGUAGAUGAGGUGAUAUUUGGUGCUCCAUGGGAAGUGUCAAAAAAUACGGUGAGCUUCUCUGCUCUCUAAUUAAUAAUAUACCCAAAUGGCUUUCACGAAAAGCUAGUUUUAACAAUGAUUUGGGUAUUGCAGAUCACGUUCUUUGGCAUAUCAUUGGUGGUUCAUGGGACAGUAGCCGAGAGCGACAAUUUUCAAAGGGUAAAACUAGAUUCAGAUAUGAGCAAGUGUAUAUAGAGACAAUAGAGCUGCGUUGCGUUUUCUAAGAAUAUGGUUGAUGAUUUGACAGAAGGAAGAGAUGCAGUACCAAUUAGCAUGGGCAUAUUCCAAAUCCUAGAAAGCCCUCUUAAUAUCACAACUUCCACCAUAAUGGGGAGGAUUGUAGCGAACCAUGAAGCUUAUCAGGCAAGUUGCUAUUCUUCUUGUUGUUGGUAUACUUCACCAAUGUCUGACACAAAAUCUUUCGUAUUGUAUAGAAACGUAAUUUGAAAAAGGAAGCUAGUGAUGACAAGCAGAUGGAAAAGGAAGCUAGUGAUGAGAAGCAUAAGGGGACUGAUAAGAAUCAAAACACGGAGCGUACCGCAUCCUAUCUCAAGAACUCUAGCGUUGGGUUUUAACCGUGAUGCUUCAGCUAAGAACUCGAACACGUCGCGCCCACCAGCCCAAGGCUCACCGUAGUUGCUGUGAUGCUCCUCACUUGUGGAGGUUGCUAGGCAGUUGAAUCUGAGGAUUGCGAAGAAGAAGGAGAGAGCGGUGAAGCUGGAAGGAUCGCAGGGAGUGGCGAACAUCGUUGUGAAGAUUCGCAGAUUAAUGGAUGAGGGGCUGUUCGUUUCACCAUUUGUCAUCUUCAUCCAAAUGAUUCAUUUGUAUGAUCUAUUGAAAUGAUCCAUUCAGAUUUUUUGUGAUUGUUUGUUUGUCCAUCCACAUAGUUCAUCUAGAUGAAUCAUCUAAAUAAAUUUUAUGUUUGUUUCUUUAUUUUCAUUUCCAUUCAAAUGAAUUUAGUAAACAAAUUACCAAAAUACCCUUGUGUUGAUUUAAUCAUAUGUUUGAUAUUAAUUUUAACUAUAUUACAUUUAAUUAUUUAGUUUAAUAUAUUUACAUUAGAAUUAUUUCAAAAUCAACGAGUUUUCUUUUUGCGGUUUGGGUGGAAAAACAAGAUUUUUCGGUUUUAGCGAGAAAACACAUUUUUCUGUUUUGGUGGAAAACAAGAUUUUUUUGUUCUGGCGGAAAAACGAGAUUUUUCGGUUUUGGCAGGAAAAUACAAAUUUUCGAGUUUUGGCGAGAAAACAAGUUUUUGCGGUUUUGCGGGAAAACACGUUUUUGCGGUUUUGGAGUGAACCACAUUUUUGUGAUUUUGGCGGGAAAACGUAUUUUUGCAAUUUUGGCGGGAAAACGCGUUUUUGCGGUUUUGGCGCGAAAACACGUUUUUGCGAUUUUGGCGGGAAAACGUGCUUUUGCAGUUUUGGCAGGAAAACACGUUUUUGCGGGAACACAUUUUUACAGUUUUCGCGGGAAAACGAGAUUUUUCGGUUUUGGCGGGAAAAUACCAAUUUUUCGUUUUGGCGAGAAACCAUGGUUUUUGGUUUUGGCAGGAAAACAAGUGUUUUUGGUUUUGGCGGAAAAACACGUUUUGCGACUUUGGCGGGAAAACAUGUUUUUUUGUGUGUUUUGGCUGAAAAAUGUAUUUUGGGGUGUUGGCGUGAAAACAUUUUUUGUGAUUUUGGCAUGAAAACAUGUUUUUCGGUUUUUGCGGGAAAACACGUUUUUGCAAUUUUGAUGGGAAAAACAUUUUUUUGCAAUUUUAGCGGGAAAAUGCGUUUUGGGGUUUUGGCGUGAAAAAAUAGUUUCUAGCACGGGAAAAAGUAUUUUUGUAGUUUUCUUAGUUUUCAUUUGUGACAAAAAUGAUAUUAUGUUUAUGUUUGUAAUUUAUGAAUUACAUUAGGGGCAUAAUAGACAUUAUACCAUUUUAAUUGAACCAUCUCCAUUCAAAUGAUCCAAAUUGGUUCAGCUGAAUGGACUUUAAAAUUAAGCGGUAGUGAAGCGACUACCAAAGAAAUUGAGCUCUUCUGCAGUGUUCAUGUACACAACUCUGGUAAAAUUUAUCUGUGUUUCUUUUAUUGUCUCUCUCAUUAUCUAAAUCACUGAGUUUUUUUCACAAGUUCUUUUCUUUCUUUAUUUUUUGUCAGAUUGGUCUUACUGUUGUCAGUCUUCCCUACAUACCCGGUUGGUUUGAAGUUAUUCGAGAAACAUAUGCACUUACACGCAAAUUUAGGAAUGUUGUAAGUUGAAUUACAUUUACUUUGGCUACUGAUGUAGUUUUGUGGUAUGCUAAGCUCCUAUGGUUUUGCAGGGCGAGCUGGCUAUAGUGAUUAAUACACGAUUAUUUGAAACACAAUUUGGAUUGAUUGCUAUCAAUUCAGAGCUCCUCUUGGCGUACGAUGGGUCCAUUGACAUAGGCAUAUCUCGUGUCAUGUCUUGGUUCAUUCGAAUUUGGGCUACGGUUUUGAUUCUUCAGGUAUGAAUAAUUAAGAUUAAUAGGUCCUUUGUUUUUGCUUUGAUUAAGAAUAAUUGAAAGUCAUCUUGUUUGAACAACAUUGUUGUCUCCAGAGCUCAGAAGAUACUCGCCUUGCUGUAGGAGCGUUGGUAUGUGUACUUGUUGUCUCACCUUUACUGAGGAUGAUCACCAGAUUAAUUUUCCCAGAUCGCGGGUAAGUGACAGUCAGUUGAUCACGUAUCUAAUAAGCUAUAUUCCCUGAUAUAUCACAGAUGCAAAUGACUUAAUUGUUUUUCUUGCGCAGGAUUCUGAUGGCCAAACUACUAAUCAUGAGGGAUGCAAUUAGAGAUGUUGUAGGACCAUUUGUCUGGAGUUUAAUCAUUUUACAGAUUUACUCUCAUAGAUGUUGGUUACUAAUUAUUAGUCAUUGAACCUUAAUGUGCUUGAAAUGAAACAUAAAACUUAAUGUGGUUGUUCAAUGAUUUUUUCAGUAAAGGAGGGAUUUGUAAGAAGCUAUGGAAAAUCGGUACGAAAGAAGAUGAAGAUGAAGAUGAAGAAGAGACUAGAAACAUCUGUUACUGUUGGUGAAAGUCAUACCCUUGUCUCGCAUUUUCCUGCUCCCCCUAGGAUCAAAUUCUCCAGUGGCAAGGUAUGCAAGUCUUAAAAGAACGCCGUUUCUGUUAGUUCGUUGUUUGCUUGUGCAUCUACCGGUUAUAGUAUGUGGAUGUGUGUAUAUCUACAGCUUUAGUAUUUGUUGCUUUAUGAUUUAUGAUCAAGUAGAUUGAACAGGUAUAUGACCCUUUUGUUCCUAAUAGCUAUCCAAGUGGCUCUGUGCUUACUGUUCUUUUAGUUGUUUUGAUUAUUGAAGAGAAUUGGUUCAAACCACAGUACCACCAGUUUUCCUCAUCGUUAUGGGAACACUGUCUGGUUCACCCUUGGUUCUUGCCUUCUGAAAUAUGAUUAGCAAGUCACUAGUUCACUCUCUCUAGUCGUUGGACGUACUUUUUAUAUGCUUCACCCCUCAUUUUAUGCCUUGCUACAACUCUUACUCGCUAGAUGUGUAACUUGAGAUUAUUUUUCUUUAAUAGAUUCACGUUUCCCAUACUUCUUUCAUUCUACUUCAUCUUUUCAUGCUUAUGGUGGCAGGGGCCAGGACCUGAUGCACGUGUAGUCUACAUAGCUGGUGCGUUUGAUCUUUUCCAUGCUGGCCAUGUUGAGGUAUUGUAUUAAAUUCCAAGUCAUUAUGCUCAGUAUGUUAUUCAUUUCAAGACUGAGUUUGUAUUUCUUUUGUCGACAUAUCUGAGCGCUAACCUAUAAAUCAGAUACAUAUGGAUGCUUAUCAUAUAUGUUUGUCGACUAGUGCAACUAGAAUGGCAUAAAUAAUAUUGAGCGACCAUAUUUAUUCUGCUAAUGUGAACUCUUGUUCUUGAUUUAAUCAACUUUGUACAGAUUCUCAGGCGUGCUAGAGAGCUUGGCGACUUUCUUCUUGUUGGAAUACAUAAUGACCAGACCGUGAGGUAGUCAUAAAACUCAAAUCAUCAUCCAAAAAAAAAAAAAGUCUUGGUUGUGUUGAGAAGUUUAGAUUUGCAUCUUUGCUUAAAAUCGUUAUUAUUGCUGUGCAUUGCUAAAAGAGGAGGGCACCCCCCCCCAAUCAUGAGUAUGCAGGAAAGGAGCUUAAGUGUUGGGGCAUGCCGCUAUGUAGAUGAGGUGAUAUUUGGUGCUCCAUGGGAAGUGUCAAAAAAUACGGUGAGCUUCUCUGCUCUCUAAUUAAUAAUAUACCCAAAUGGCUUUCACGAAAAGCUAGUUUUAACAAUGAUUUGGGUAUUGCAGAUCACGUUCUUUGGCAUAUCAUUGGUGGUUCAUGGGACAGUAGCCGAGAGCGACAAUUUUCAAAGGGUAAAACUAGAUUCAGAUAUGAGCAAGUGUAUAUAGAGACAAUAGAGCUGCGUUUUCUAAGAAUAUGGUUGAUGAUUUGACAGAAGGAAGAGAAUCCGUAUGCAGUACCAAUUAGCAUGGGCAUAUUCCAAAUCCUAGAAAGCCCUCUUGAUAUCACAACUUCCACCAUAAUGGGGAGGAUUGUAGCGAACCAUGAAGCUUAUCAGGCAAGUUGCUAUUCUUCUUAUUGUUGGUAUACUUCACCAAUGUCUGACACAAAAUCUUUCGUAUUGCGUUUUCUAAGAAUAUGGUUGAUGAUUUGACAGAAGGAAGAGAUGCAGUACCAAUUAGCAUGGGCAUAUUCCAAAUCCUAGAAAGCCCUCUUAAUAUCACAACUUCCACCAUAAUGGGGAGGAUUGUAGCGAACCAUGAAGCUUAUCAGGCAAGUUGCUAUUCUUCUUGUUGUUGGUAUACUUCACCAAUGUCUGACACAAAAUCUUUCGUAUUGUAUAGAAACGUAAUUUGAAAAAGGAAGCUAGUGAUGACAAGCAGAUGGAAAAGGAAGCUAGUGAUGAGAAGCAUAAGGGGACUGAUAAGAAUCAAAACACGGAGCGUACCGCAUCCUAUCUCAAGAACUCUAGCGUUGGGUUUUAACCGUGAUGCUUCAGCUAAGAACUCGAACACGUCGCGCCCACCAGCCCAAGGCUCACCGUAGUUGCUGUGAUGCUCCUCACUUGUGGAGGUUGCUAGGCAGUUGAAUCUGAGGAUUGCGAAGAAGAAGGAGAGAGCGGUGAAGCUGGAAGGAUCGCAGGGAGUGGCGAACAUCGUUGUGAAGAUUCGCAGAUUAAUGGAUGAGGGGCUGUUCGUUUCACCAUUUGUCAUCUUCAUCCAAAUGAUUCAUUUGUAUGAUCUAUUGAAAUGAUCCAUUCAGAUUUUUUGUGAUUGUUUGUUUGUCCAUCCACAUAGUUCAUCUAGAUGAAUCAUCUAAAUAAAUUUUAUGUUUGUUUCUUUAUUUUCAUUUCCAUUCAAAUGAAUUUAGUAAACAAAUUACCAAAAUACCCUUGUGUUGAUUUAAUCAUAUGUUUGAUAUUAAUUUUAACUAUAUUACAUUUAAUUAUUUAGUUUAAUAUAUUUACAUUAGAAUUAUUUCAAAAUCAACGAGUUUUCUUUUUGCGGUUUGGGUGGAAAAACAAGAUUUUUCGGUUUUAGCGAGAAAACACAUUUUUCUGUUUUGGUGGAAAACAAGAUUUUUUUGUUCUGGCGGAAAAACGAGAUUUUUCGGUUUUGGCAGGAAAAUACAAAUUUUCGAGUUUUGGCGAGAAAACAAGUUUUUGCGGUUUUGCGGGAAAACACGUUUUUGCGGUUUUGGAGUGAACCACAUUUUUGUGAUUUUGGCGGGAAAACGUAUUUUUGCAAUUUUGGCGGGAAAACGCGUUUUUGCGGUUUUGGCGCGAAAACACGUUUUUGCGAUUUUGGCGGGAAAACGUGCUUUUGCAGUUUUGGCAGGAAAACACGUUUUUGCGGGAACACAUUUUUACAGUUUUCGCGGGAAAACGAGAUUUUUCGGUUUUGGCGGGAAAAUACCAAUUUUUCGUUUUGGCGAGAAACCAUGGUUUUUGGUUUUGGCAGGAAAACAAGUGUUUUUGGUUUUGGCGGAAAAACACGUUUUGCGACUUUGGCGGGAAAACAUGUUUUUUUGUGUGUUUUGGCUGAAAAAUGUAUUUUGGGGUGUUGGCGUGAAAACAUUUUUUGUGAUUUUGGCAUGAAAACAUGUUUUUCGGUUUUUGCGGGAAAACACGUUUUUGCAAUUUUGAUGGGAAAAACAUUUUUUUGCAAUUUUAGCGGGAAAAUGCGUUUUGGGGUUUUGGCGUGAAAAAAUAGUUUCUAGCACGGGAAAAAGUAUUUUUGUAGUUUUCUUAGUUUUCAUUUGUGACAAAAAUGAUAUUAUGUUUAUGUUUGUAAUUUAUGAAUUACAUUAGGGGCAUAAUAGACAUUAUACCAUUUUAAUUGAACCAUCUCCAUUCAAAUGAUCCAAAUUGGUUCAGCUGAAUGGACUUUAAAAUUAAGCCUAAAUUUUCAAAAGUCAUCCGAAUGAUCCAUCUGAAUGAGUUGCACUUUUAGUGCCUAAACAAACAAAACUCUCAUUUUUAUCCAAAUGGACCAUCCAGAUGGAGAAACAAACAGGCCCUGAAUUGGUGAUGGUGGAGAUAGAAGAACAAGCAGAGAGACGUGGGCUUAGCUUGGGUCGAUGAGCUCAGGCGAAAGCUACGUCGUAUCAUUAACCAACCGGUUAAUAGGGGUUCGUAAAAUUGUUUCAACACUAAAACCAAUUUUACUCAGAAUUUUCAAAUGAACAAUACAACCGGUUUAGUUGAGGAUUCGAGAAGCACUAUAGUGAACCAGUUCGGCUUGCAGUGGAGCAGAGAGAGUAAUGGGAAGAUUGGCCUCUCUGUAUAUAAAAAAAAAAAAAAACAAUUGAAGAAUACUAACCGGAAUUCCGUUUUCUGGUUUCUCUUUUCUUUACAAAGUAUACUUUUUAACAUAAUACAAAAUUAUUUGCUACAUUCAUUGGAGAGAAUUUUAAUAAGACUCUGAUAUUUACGUGUAUGUGUGAUCUAUGUGUGUGUUUGCAAACUUGUGCUUUUCUUUUUGGUAAUGAACAUGCCAACCGUUUGUAAUGUUUAAGAUUCUGAUAAUCUGAUUUAUAUUUUUAGAUUAUAUUUGGGAAUCGGAAGAAUCAUUGUGUAUGUUAUAUGUUUUCUUUUUUUGUAUCAUUGUGUAUGUCAUAUGUAUUUUACUGUUUCCAAGCUAUGCAAGUUUCUUUGCGACAUUAAACUAUCGAACAAAAGUAUUGUCAUAUAUGCUUACGAAACACAAGAUUAGUGGUAAUAUGCAUAGUAAAUUACUUUAACAAAACAAUACAUUGCUGUGUAAAUGUCAAUUCUUUUAUGUGUUCAUAUAGGCUAUAGCUGUGUCUGUUCUUGUUUGAUACUCCCUCUGUUUCUUAUUACUUGAUGUUUUACUCAAAUGCACAAAUAUUAAGAAAAACUACUUUUUAUCAAAAUCAUCACUAAAUUAUAAUAUAAAAUUAAUUUAUUUAAUUAUAAAUAAAAACUAAAAAAAAUCUAAUUGGUUACACAGUUUUUAAUAAAGUUAAAGUUACAUAGAUUUGUGCAAACUUCAUCUAUUAUGAAACAACAAAACUUCUCUAAAACAUCAAGUAUAUUGAAACGGAGGGAGUAUAUUGUAGGAAGUGAAAACAUGUGAAAAAAGUUGAUUGGCUUUAUUCCAUUUAACUAGUUGUAUGGUACAAAAGAACUAAAGAUAUUAUUACAUUACAGGCGUGUAAAAGCAAACUACCAGAGAUUUGCCAAAAUCAAGGGCCGAAAUAUUACAUAUUUAACAUAUUUAUCAUUUGUGGGAACGGGUUUCUCUAAGGAUUUGUAGAGUUUGUUCAUCUUCAAGGAUUAUAAGACGAACCCUGUUGACUUUUAGGCUAAGGGUUUAAAAAUUGGACUCAAUCUGGGCUAAAGCCCCAUUACAACACUCCAGUGUGGAUUCUUCUGAUAACGACGUUGUAUCCGAUUCCAAAGUUAGUUCUAUACAUAUGACCUGCAAUGAGGAAAAUAAUUGCAUGGAAUUUUGUGUUAACUAGGUCGGCUGUCUAGCUCUUCGAUUCUCUUGAUGGUUCGAAUCUCUCCGUCGUUGAAUCUCUGGAAUCUCUUUUUCUCUUUGUGUUAACAAGGUCGGUUCUCUCUCUCUCUCUCUCUCUCUCUCUCUCUCUCUCUCUCUCUCUCUCUCUCUCUCUCUCUCUCUCUCUCUCUCUCUCUCUCUCUCUCUCUCUCUCUCUCUCUCUCUCUCUCUCUCUCUCUCUCUCUCUCUCUCUCUCUCGGUUUAUUCAUUUGCGUCGAGUGGAUUCUCUUGAUUAUGACGUCGUUUUAUCGUUUUAUUUUAGGGUUUAGGGUUCACAUCAAAUAUCUCUUUCUCUCCUUCGAAUCUCUGUCAUAUAUUGAUAGUCGUGGUUUUGAUUUUGGAAUUUUGUUGUACUUGUCUUUUUUGGAUUACGUCUCACAGGAAUGCGGAACUUUGUCUCGCAAUCAUGGAAAUAUCUUUUCGCCGCCCACUUCGCAACAAUUGCCUCCUCUUCAUUUUUCAUUUUAUGCUAUGUGCGCUUGGAGAGACGAUGAAGGGACCUGGGGGUUCAAUUAUUGAUGAUUGUGAUGUUAUUUGUGUCCUUCCUUGACUUUUUCAGUGUUUCCUUGGUUCUCUUUCUUCGAGAUGAUGAUGAUGCAGCAAUGGUGGGUCCAGUACACUACAAGAAAACAGGUCGUUUCUGACUACAGUAUUAGUCGGUAUUCAGUCGGUAAAUGGUCGUUUCCGACUGAUUCACGCCUGAUCAGAGUCGUCAUAAUAUACCGCGUCGCUAAAUAAUUUAGUCGUAAAACAGUCGGUAAAUAGCGACUGUUUUACGACUAUUUUGAUCAGUCGUAAAUGCAGUCGGUAAUUAGUAGGAAAUUUGGCGACUGAUUUACGACUCAUUUAGUGACUAUACUACGACGGCUUGGUGACUGAAUUUAACGACUGAUUGCACGACUGACUUAGUGACUAACUACCUUAGUAGGAAAAUAUAACUGCUACCGAAUCACGACUGAUUAGCGACUGAAAUGCUUAAAUUUUACGACUGAUUUCGCGACUGUAUUGCGACUAAUUACCAUAUUUUUUUGGCUGUUAAAUGUAUGAUUUUGGUGUAUUGUUUUUUCUUGUCCAAAUCAUGAUUUGUUAUUUAAAUCUUCUUUUAGUACUACAAAAAACGAUUUUGAAAUCAUAAAAGUUUUAAAUACAUGUACCAUACACAAAAGAACUCCAAUACUUAGGAGUUUUCAAGUUUCAAACAGAAAGAACAACUCCAAAGAGUUUACAAGUUUCACACAUCAAAAAGAUAGUUUUUAGUACAAAAGAAGGGAAAUGCAAGACCUAAACAUGAUGGGGAUCAGAUGAAGCUGUUUCUUUGGAGAUGAAGUCCAAGAAUCUCUGGUCUGUGGUGGCCAUGUACUUCCGAACCAUUAACAACUCAUCGAUCGUAGCUUGCUGAGUAGUUAUAACUCUGGAACGCUCUCCUUUGCCGCAGCAGCAGCAGCUUGGGCACGAUCUUCCUCAGCCUUUGCAAGAAGAGCAGCUUGUUCUUUGAUUUGGCGUUGAGCUUCUUCAAGUUGCUGUUGCAUUUGGAUGAAAGAGGACAAGCUUCUUGGGUCAUAUACCACUUUAUUAAGUUGGUUCUUCAAGCUUCCAAGGCCAUAAAUUUGCCCCCUGUCAUUGGUGAAAGUGACCUACAAAAAAAAAAAAUUGAGUGAGAGACUAUAUCAAUAACAAGCAAUAACAACCAAAAUGAAUAGUGAGAGACAUGAAGUUUUGACAGUAAGAAAUCCUAACCUGAAUAAACAGCUCAUUCUCCUCUUCUAUUGAUAGUGGUGGAUGCUGCCCAGUCUCGGUGUGAUCAUCAGUCUCAAGGGUGGCCAACUUAGCUUACUUUUUGUUCUUGAAAGCCUCAAUAACUUGUUCAGCUUUGAAAUCACUAAAGGUUCCAUCAGACUUUGUAUGAGCUCUGAUGAAUACUUCACCAAAGCUCAUUGGUCUUCCCAAUUCAACAACCUGAAGUAAAAUGGAAGAAAAGAUCAGUAUAAAAUGUUAAAAAACCAAACAUACUUAUCACAUUGAACAACUAAGCAGUAGGGACUCACCAUCUCUUGGUGGAGCUGCAUAUAAGACUUCUGGCCAGAGUUAUGCGUGUGAAAGCCAAGACCUUGACGGUCAGACAUUCUAGAUGCUGAUGCUGUAGCACUCUUUGCAACCGCAGCGUCAGUGUCCCAAUAGUCGGUCAUUGUUUUCCACAGUGUGUCGCGUAUCCAAUCAGGCUGCUGCCGAGAAGUCCUUACUUCGCUGACCAUGUCUUUCAGUCGUAAUAGAGCAAUGGCCUCGAAAUGUUCUUGCACAACACCAGUCAAUGAUGGAUCCCAUGUGUUUUCUACAAAUGAACAUAGAAGAUACUAGUUAGCCAUCAAAAACCAAAGAAUUAAAAAAAACAGUGUGUAUUAAACUUGUUUCAAAAAGACAAAUGAACAAUGAACAUAGAAAUGUUCUUGCACAACACCAGUCAACACCACUUACUUAAUAACUAUAAUAACUCAAAGACAGAGAAGAGACAGAGAAGCUUACGGCAAAUUCCAAAAAGUAAUUUUCUUGUCUGUCUCUAGGCACAUGAGUCCAGCUGUAGAAAGACUUAUUAAACUUGUUCCUUAAAAUCUUGGUAAUCUUCCUAGACAAGCUCGACUUGUCAUAACCAAACCUAUAAAAGAAGACAAGCAAAGAAUCAUCAAUAAAUCUAUAUUCUUGACAUAUUGUAGCUAAAUUCCUAAAUUUAUAUUCUUGACAGACAAGCAAAGAAUCAUCAAAGAAUCAUCAACAAAUCUAUAUUCCUGAAUCAUCAACAAUUGUAGGAAACGAAGACAAAAUACCAUGUGGUUUCAGGCUCAAGGUUGCGAGACAGGACAGUUGUGUUCUUCGCUCGACCUGGCUGGUUUAGGAGGGAGUUCAAAAGAACCAAAUGGUCAGAGGCAAGAUUAGGUUGAACCGGAGCCUCUACAUCGGACAUAUCCUCCUCCUUCUCUUCUGGAAAAUGAGAAUUUUGUUCUUCAGAACUGUGAGGCGUUUGAGAUGCUCGAACGGGAGCCGCUUGACUUGGAGGAAGUGCGUUCAUAUGUUCAGUCGACUGAGUUUGUCGCUGUUGAGGUUGAGACGUCGCAGCAGCUGGAGUGAGAGGCGACAUAGCUGAUUGAGAAGGUGGGAAGUUCGUUGUCGGAAAAAGCUUUCUCGGAGGAGGAUAAUCGCGAACAGACGGGAGAGGAUUGUUCUUAGGGAGAGGAUUUUUCUUAGGGAGAACGGGUGGGAUGGACGGAGAUGGAUCCCUCGGUACGAAGUCAUACUGAGUUGGUAAAGUAGACGGGCGUUGUGUAACCCGAGAGGUGUUCGGUUUGAUGGUAUUUCGCUUCCUCUUUCCACCCAUAUUCGGAGAGAUCGGUGGUAGAGAUCAGUGGGAGAUAUCAGUGGGAGAGAUCGAGAUCGAGAUUCGUCGGUUAUCAGAGAGUGGCCGUCGAGAUUGAGAGUCAGAGAUUAGGGUUUCUUCUUUCGCGAAAACAGAAAGGGUAAUAACCUCUUGGGCUUUGGUUCACGCGGGCUUUAGGUCCAAAAAUGAAAUAAAAUUUUGGGUUUUCGCGGUUUAGAUCAGUCGGAAUUUAGUCACCAUUUUUUAAAAUGAAAAUUAAAUUGAAAUUCAAUAUCAAAUUAUAACCAAAUAUUUUCGCGGUUCAAUAAUUUUUGGAGGCAAAACCAAAUUUUUGGCUGAAUAGUCGGUAAUCAGUAGGUAAUCAGUCGUUAAAUUUGAAAAUAAAUUUGAAAAUACAAAUAUACAUAAUUUAAUAUUAGAACAUAUAUUUUAAAAAAAUUUUGCGAUUUAAGAACUUUUGGAGGCAAAUAAAAAUGUACAUAAUAAACCUGGAUCCUAACCCCUAAAUCGAAACCCUAAUCCCAAAAUCGAAACCCUAAAUCAAAAAUAACAUCAUCUUACAACAUAGUAUAUUAAAUAUGACAAAUAAAGUGUAUAACAUAUAUAUGAAACAUAAUAUUAUAUAUGGUAACCGAAGUUUAGAACAUCAUAUUACAAGAUAAUAUUAUACAUAUGAGUACUUAAUUAAUCAACUUAGUAUGGUUCAUCUUCAUCUCCAUCUUCAUCAUCAUCUGAAUUAUGAUAAAUUACAUCGGAAUUCAUCAUUAGGUUCUGCAUCUGCCACGUCGAAAUCAAUAUUGAUCGGUUCUCCAGGAGCAUGUACCAAAUGGUCGACUUCAAGGUCUUCAACUGUGGUCAUCAUAACAGCAUCAUUGUUUUCUUGUUGCAAAGUCACUAGAUCUUUUUCUUCAUAUUCUCCGAAAAUGAUUCUCCUCGGAUUCACUUUUAGAACAUUGAGCCAAGACUGCUUCGGUUUCCUUACAUACGGAUAUGGAAUAUAACAAACUUACCUAGAAUAUAUGGAUCAUAUUUGUAGUAUUUUCUCGAUGAGAGAACAUCCACGAUUCCGUCAUUUUUUCACCGAGUGCCUCUACCAAUAACAGGGUCAUACCAUUUACACUUAAAAAGUGUGAUUUUCAAAUCGACUAUCCCCUCGUACUCGAUUUGUAUGAUAUCUGUUAAGAUCCCGUGGUACUGAGAUUCAUCAGCUGCAUUUGUAUAACUCUCUCCUUUAGCACAUACUCCAUAGUUGCAAGUCUUUUGUCCCUCACCAUGCGUUUGGGUAUGAAACAUAAAACCUCGAGUGUUCUUCACUACCACUUAAAUGCGUCAGAUUAGCAUAACUUGUUCCUAAAGCCAUAUCGAGUUCUUCUCCAUGCUUGUACCACACAUAAUAGUCAAGCAUAAACCCUUUACUAUAUAUAUAUGUUUCAAAACUCGUUGCUCCGGGAUAAAUUUCUCAUUUUUGCAAACACUGCAUGGACAAAAGAAUUUACCAUUAUUAUCCUGUGUUAGAGGCUGACUGUUUGCAAAUGCCAUGAAUUGGUAUACUCCCGUUGUGAACUCUUCCGAGAAAUUCCCCGUUUCUUCAUCGAUCCUCUUGUACAUCCAAUCUCGAAAGUUAGUGUAGUUGUAAUUACCUCCCAUUAUGUGAUUUUUUCUGAUUUUUUCCUGAUUUUUUCCUUAUUUUUUUUAUUUUUUUCUGAUUUUUUUUAUUUUUUCUGAUUCGCAAGACACGAAACCGACUGCUUUAUUUCGGUCGUAGCAUAGUCGCUAUUCAGUCGUGAAUCAGUAGGUAAAUAUAGCAACUGCAUAAUCAGUCGGUAUAGUCAAUCGGCAAAAACGUGUUUUCUUGUAGUGAGUGACCAGUGGCAGUUCGACUUCGUCCAAGUUUGCGUGUAUUGACAACAGAGUUGUUAAAGACCGUGACUCUCUGAGUUUUUCUAAUGCUAGAUGGUGAAUUUAAGAAGGGCAAAAGGCUUUGGAUGACUCUGUUUUGUGUCUCCUACAAUCUCCACAUCAUACAUCUGAUGGUCAGUUUCCUUAUAGAUGAAGAUUGUGACUUUGCAGCAGGAUUUCUUGCCGCUUCUUUCAGUCUAGUGGUGGAUGCGAUACAUGAUGAUUGGAAGCUUUUACUUUUUCCUCCUGUUUGGUUUCUUGUAGCUCUCUUGGCAUGUUACAAGUGCAUCGUUAUUCUCGGGAUGGUGGUUGGCCAGGCCUAAACGGUAAGGGAUAUAGCUGUUUCCACAUUUUUUCUCUUUUGAUUAAUUAUAGCUGUUUCCAUUUUAAUUCUUAAGGGGGUGGUAUUCAAUCCAAGAAUUUAAUAGAAUUUGAAAGAAUUCUUAAAUAAUAAUUUUUGUAGUAGUUAUGAGAGUUUAAUGCAUUUACAUAAUUUUCAUGUUUACUUUUCUUAUGGAUUUUAAAAGAAUGCACUAAAUUUGAUCGAUAGAAUAUCAAUUUCUCUAAAAUCAAAGAAAAAUUUGAAUCUUUAUUAUGGCUUUGAUUGGUGACAUGUGGUAAACUUGAUUAAGUUUGAUUUGUGAUUGUAACUCAAAAAUGUUACCAAUCAUGCAUUAAAAUUAUUUUUUUGAUUUUAAGUUUGAUUUAACAUGUAUUGUACUUGAGGUAUCAUUUUGACUUAGAUCCUUUGUAAAAUUGCUAAAUCAACAUCAACCAAAUUUCCAUGUAUUAGAAGUUGAUUUAUAAAUUUAAUUACUUUUUCUGUUUAAAAAAUAAAAAAGAAAAUAAUGAUUUUUGAAAACUUACGUGUGCCAAGUUGAGUCCACCUAAUUUUGAGCUGGUCAAAGAUUUUUAUAAUCUUUCUUGUUCCUAUUUUUUUGAAUUAUUCAAAAUUUUAACUAAUUAUUAAACAAAAUCUUAAGCGUUAAUAUGAUAUAAUAAUUCAAAAAUACCAAUUAUAAAAUUAUAUAUAUAUGACCCUAAGUUAGUGUGGAUCACACACUUUCAAAACCUAAAAAGCUUAAGGUAUGUUUUCUUCUGUCUUCUUCUUUUGCUUGCAAAAGUUAUUUUCAUUUUUUACUUGCAAAAACUAAUAAGCUUGACGUCUGUGUUCUAUCUUCUUCUUCGUCUUUACUUCCAAAAGAUAUAUNNNNNNNNNNNNNNNNNNNNNNNNNNNNNNNNNNNNNNNNNNNNNNNNNNNNNNNNNNNNNNNNNNNNNNNNNNNNNNNNNNNNNNNNNNNNNNNNNNNNNNNNNNNNNNNNNNNNNNNNNNNNNNNNNNNNNNNNNNNNNNNNNNNNNNNNNNNNNNNNNNNNNNNNNNNNNNNNNNNNNNNNNNNNNNNNNNNNNNNNNNNNNNNNNNNNNNNNNNNNNNNNNNNNNNNNNNNNNNNNNNNNNNNNNNNNNNNNNNNNNNNNNNNNNNNNNNNNNNNNNNNNNNNNNNNNNNNNNNNNNNNAAAGAAUUUUUUACUUUUUAUAGAUUUUGUGCCAUUUCGAACAAACUCCACUGGUUUUGAUGUUUUCUCGUUUGGCAUAAACGACAUUUAAUUUGUUUAAUCUGUCCUUUGUUACGUAGUUCAUGCAUUAAAACAAGUCUUUUACAACUUUUGCAUAGUCAUUUGCUAUCAUUCAUCAACAACUUUUUAUUAUCACUACCAAACAUAUAUCCAAGUCCUAGUGGAUGGAGGUUAUCAUUAUUAUACUUAAUGUUAAUUCAAUCAAUCUAGGAUUGCUUGGCCAAGUAGCAGUUUCAUUUAAAUUUGGAUCUUUGCAUUUGGAGCAAUAUGAAAUGUAAGACGGAGUAUAACCAAGAUGAACUUCACAUACGAUAAAUAUUGUUAGGGCCAUUUCCUGUAAGAAAAUUUUGUCACUUGUUGUGUCAAUUGAAGUCAUUCUUCAAGGUACUAGCGAUGGCGAAUUUGACCAUUUGGCAACAUUUUCUUUUUAAAAUCCAUUAAAAUCCGCGUAGUCUCUUCAAAUCCAAAACCAUAUAUCGAUAACAUUUUUGUGAUGUAAAACAUUAUUCCCACUAUUUAGAACUGGGGUAGACAAAGUUCAAAGAACCAAGUCAUUUCUCCACCGGCCCAUACUCAUUUGGCAACUUACUUCAUUUGUUCAUACGUUACAACUACCACUUUAAAUAUUCUUAACAAAAUUUUGCUUAAGCCUUUUAAAUGUUCAUUGCUGCCUCUGAGUUAUAAUAAUGUUCGCAAGAGCUAAUAUAUAAAAAACCCUCAAAAUACCAUUUGUUUUACUUAAAAGAUUCUAAAAUCAAUCAAAAUAUAUAAACCAAUAACACCUAAGUCAACUCGUUUCUAAACCAAAAAAACACUAACUAAUGUUGUAGUUAUUAUAUUCUCUUGACCAAAGUUGUAAAAGGAAUGAACUCUUGUAGCUGCCUCAAACGAAAGUUGUUUCAAAUGAAUUUCGUGAAACUAGAGAAGAUGCUCAAACUGUAUUACGUGUUACGACAUUCUUAAUCCUCUUGUUAAAAUUAAUUGUAAUGUGACAGUUGAUGCACAUGCAGACCAAGCUGCCGAAUCUUCACCAGUGAAUAAUGGUGAUGAUGUAUACGCUUCCGGAAACUACUUGUUAAGGACCGAUGUGAUGAUUCUGAUUCAGAUUCAGUUCAGAUGUUUAUGAAAAAGAAAAUCUUUUAUCAAAAAAAAGAAAAGAAAUAAAGAAAUAAAAAAAGAACAUUCAUUGUGUGAUCAUAGUUUCACGAUUUAUUUAGGAUUUGGGACAAAGAAUUUUUUACUUUUUAUAGAUUUUGUGCCAUUUCGAACAAACUCCACUGGUUUUGUUGUUUUCUCGUUUGGCAUAAACGACAUUUAAUUUGUUUAAUCUGUCCUUUGUUACGUAGUUCAUGCAUUAAAACAAGUCUUUUACAACUUUUGCAUAGUCAUUUGCUAUCAUUCAUCAACAACUUUUUAUUAUCACUACCAAACAUAUAUCCAAGUCCUAGUGGAUGGAGGUUAUCAUUAUUAUACUUAAUGUUAAUUCAAUCAAUCUAGGAUUGCUUGGCCAAGUAGCAGUUUCAUUUAAAUUUGGAUCUUUGCAUUUGGAGCAAUAUGAAAUGUAAGACGGAGUAUAACCAAGAUGAACUUCACAUACGAUAAAUAUUGUUAGGGCCAUUUCCUGUAAGAAAAUUUUGUCACUUGUUGUGUCAAUUGAAGUCAUUCUUCAAGGUACUAGCGAUGGCGAAUUUGACCAUUUGGCAACAUUUUCUUUUUAAAAUCCAUUAAAAUCCGCGUAGUCUCUUCAAAUCCAAAACCAUACAUCGAUAACAUUUUUGUGAUGUAAAACAUUAUUCCCACUAUUUAGAACUGGGGUAGACAAAGUUCAAAGAACCAAGUCAUUUCUCCACCGGCCCAUACUCAUUUGGCAACUUACUUCAUUUGUUCAUACGUUACAACUACCACUUUAAAUAUUCUUAACAAAAUUUUGCUUAAGCCUUUUAAAUGUUCAUUGCUGCCUCUGAGUUAUAAUAAUGUUCGCAAGAGCUAAUAUAUAAAAAACCCUCAAAAUACCAUUUGUUUUACUUAAAAGAUUCUAAAUCAAUCAAAAUAUAUAAACCAAUAACACCUAAGUCAACUCGUUUUUAAACAAAAAAAAACACUAACCAAUGUUGUAGUUAUUAUAUUCUCUUGACCAAAGUUGUAAAAGGAAUGAACUCUUGUAGCUGCCUCAAACGAAAGUUGUUUCAAAUGAAUUUCGUGAAACUAGAGAAGAUGCUCAAACUGUAUUACGUGUUGCGACAUUCUUAAUCCUCUUGUUAAAGUUAAUUGUAAUGUGACAAUUGACGCACAUGCAGACCAAGAUGCCGAAUCUUCACCAGUGAAUAAUGGUGAUGAUGUAUACGCUUCCGGAAACUACUAGUUAAAGACUGAUGUGAUGAUUCUGAUUCAGAUUCAGUUCAGAUGUUUAUGUAUGAUUGAUGGCAAAAAAAAUUUUUGUAACCAUGGUAAGACUUUAUUACCAAUUUUCGAUUUUUGACAGAAGUUUUUUGUUUUAAAAGGAAUUUUCACAGAAGUUAAAAACAAAUAAAGGAAAAAAUAUAAAAUACCAAAGCAAAGAAAAGCAAACACUCUGAGCAAAGACCUAAGAUCAACAAUGGUUUUUGUUUCUUGGAAGUGAUUCCUAAAGCGUUAGAAAUUGUGAAGAAGGUUAUGAGCAAGGAGAAAGUGAUAAGGAUUUGAUGAAUACCAUAUCCUCUACUUAGAUUUUAGAGCAUUUUUAAUUCUACUACAUUUUUACUCAUUUACUACUGUUAUUCUAUUUAUAGAGUAAUGAUUUUAUUUUUUACUUAUUACUCUAUUUUUAAUCAAAAAUGUAGUAGAACUUAGAGUGAAAAUCAACACUAAUAUAGAGUUACUGCAUUUAAAAAAACUAAAUCGAGCAAAAAAAUUGAGAUGCUUUUGAGCCAGGUCAUAAGAGACAUCAUCGCUUAUACAAGCUAUGGUUCAUCUUCGUUACUAUCUCUCAAUCAUUGCGAGUUUAGAUUUCUAUAAUUUCAACUUCGAAGUAUGUUGUUACGUGUAAAUAAUUGGUCAUUAAGAAAGGUUGUGGUUGAACUCGGUCUCCGCGCAUUAACCACAUCCUACUAAACCAAACCAAUUUCAAAUUCAAACUACGUCACAUUUCACAAACAAUGAUCUAAUGAUCUCUAGAAAUCAUUGUUCUAAGAAAUAACAUACUAAGAUUGCGACAUAACUUGUAGCGAGCAGAUAUGCAUGGUACACUACACCACGUAAGAGUUCAUAUUUUUAGGGAACAAACACAAAAAUAAAAUAAAAACACUAAAACGUAAAUACGAGUUCUUUGCUUCUUCAACAAGCAGCUAAACCAAAACAAACAAACUUCAAACUCUUACUACUACUACUUCUGCUGCUGCUUCUUCACUGGACCUUACUUGUGCAACACUCAUUCAGUUCCCAUCAUCUGAUGACUUCAAGUAGAGUGUUUCUCCACCAUCCCCUGAGCUUCCACCCCUGCCUUCACCACUACCCAUCUCCGGCUUCCCACGGCCAAAUUCAUGAAACCCACCAGCCUCUCCCUGAAGGAUAUGGAGACCACUGCUUCCUCCUCCGCUGCUAGAGCUCAUCCCAAGCUGGCUAUGGUGCAACUGCUGGUGCUGAAGCGUUGCAUAAGGCUGUUGCUGCUGCUGAUACAUCAUUGAAGAACGAGCUGCCAUAAGAGACUGCUGAGUCAUCUGCUGCUGUUGAGUCGCCUGUUGCUGCUGCAAAUAGUGUGACGCUCCUUCUCCUUGAAUCAACCCACCACCAGCAGAUCCAUACUGCCAAUAUUACCAAUGAUUUUUUUCAGUAUUAUGCAGAAAAUUUGAGUACUCUUGUGAUUUAACUGUUUACCUGGCUAUGCACGCUUGGAGGUUGAGGCUGAGAAUCUGCUAUUGCAGCCAAGUACAUGAGGUUGCGUUGAAGCCUUGCCUGAUUCCUGUAACAAAAUAUUUAACCUUAUGAUCAUAUCCUACACACAAGUGAAAAUCAAGGAGAUAUGUUUUAUCUUACUCGGCACACUCGCUGAGCUUUCCUGAGUUUUGAGACUCAACUAUCUUCAGAAUCAAAGACUUGUUCUCAUCCAAGUACUACAGAUUAAGAACAUCAUAACCUUCAUUAAUCAGUAAUGGUACGGUACGAACAGAAUCUAUAAACAAAGAUUUGAUAUUUUCUUUUGUUGGAAUAAAGACAUAAGAAACUCAAGGAGACCCCAGUACUUGAGAUUCCAGACUUAUCAAAAGACAAAAAACGUUGAAACAUAGCAAAAGUUGUAUGAAAGAUUUUCUUUCUAAAAGAUUUUGAGAAGGACCACAUAAAAGUGGAGCUUAAGGACCACAAAAGUUAUAUAUCUGGUCAUGUAAGGAAAAGAAGGAACACUUGGACUGAGCUUAUACAUAUUAGAUCUAAAUCUAAUGAUAACAAUCUAAACAGGACCACCACAUUCACAUAAAUGGCUUUGUGGUUUUUGCCAUCAAUGAAACUUCCAGAACCCGAAAACCAAGACAAGCUUGAAAUGUGAACAAUCUUCAGUUCCCAAGAUUUGUCUGUUUCGAACACAUUAUUUUUUUCAUUACAUGUUUCAAGAACUUAAAACAGCUGGACCCUAAACUUGUUUUUUUUUCUUAAACCACUCUAAAUAAACUGCCGUCAAUUUGCCUUAAAUAAUUAAAUCUACAGUUACCAUAUAGACAUCCCUUGGAAGCCAUAGAUCCCGGCGGUUUGGUCUUGUGAUCUUUAUGCAAUUCAAACUUUCUCAUCCCACUAACUUGACUAUCUUAAGGUUUUUGAUGAAGUUUUUUAAGCGAUUGAUUUGGUUCUCGAAAAUUUAUUAUGAGUUGUUUGAAGAAUCCAUGAUUUCAUGCGAAGUGAUUGCGUUCAAUUUUUUUUUGAUUGAGCAACUCCGAUGAUAGAUUGUUGGAGAAGAACGGUGGUGAUGGAAAAUAGAAAUUCUGUUUGACGGCUCAAUCAAAAUUUUAAUAUGAGACACAUCCACUUGAAUUUUUGAGCUUGCGAAAGUCAAUCAUUUCACAUGUUUAAAGGUUAUUCUCCUUCUCUCCCGUGAAGUUGUGUCUUCGUUUGAUGUAUAGAGUUCCUAAUGAGUGCUUGAAGUUUCACAUUUCAUCCUCAAAUUUCAUUCUCCCUAUUCUGAUUUUUGCUUCAAGUCUGAAUGUGGUUCCUUUUUCGAUUUGCUUACAAGUGUUGUUAUAGAUUAGUUCUAAGGAGAUUAAUUUAGAUUGAUUCAACAUGGAAAGCAAUAUUAAUUUGUUUCAUGGUUGUGAUGGUGGUGGAGGCCGAACAAGAAGAAGAAGAGAGGCGGAGAAGGAGAGAAGAUAGAGACGGCGUAGGUUUUAGUUUUUUAUUUAGUUUUUAUUUUUUUCUUAAAAAACUUGGUUUAGUUUGGUUUAUUUUGAUGUACUGAUCUUAAAUUGGUAACCAAUUUUGAUAUAUAUAUAUAAUAUUAUUUUUAAAAAAAUAUUUUUUAAAGUUAUGUUUUAAAAUAUAAGUUAAAUAAUAACAAGAAAAGCAUUAUUAAAAUUAUUUAAUUGCAUGUAAAAAAUGAUAUAGCAUAUCAUAAUACUAAAAAUAAAGGAUCAACUUUAAAUCCCAAGAAGAAGUACAAUAAAUCUCAAUAUUUAUAGUUUAAUUUCAUAAAAUCUACAAGUAUACUUAAAACUCUAUUAUUUUAUAUUUUAAUAUUUAUUUUACCAAGUAAAAUGAAUAAAAGCAAAAACACAAUUUCAUAGUUUAUAAAAAUGUAUCGUUCAUUUUAGCUGGCUAGCUAGCUAUUGAAAUGGGCAAGCAGCUAUACCAGAAAAUGCCUUUUUAGAACGUUUGCCUCUAAGAAAAUGAUAAAAGUCGCUAGAAGCUAAAUAUAUUUCUGUUUUUUUUUUUGAAAAAAAUAUAUGGGCUUCGAAGAAAUUCUUGAUGUCCAAUAUAGACAAUCCACUAUGUAAUUGUAAAAUAUGACGUACCAAAUUUUUAUUGAUAACAAAAUGGCCUAAUUCAGUAACUUAAAUUAGGCUUGCUAAAUAAAAUUUGCAAAAAUUUGUACUUAUUUGAUUUUUUUCCUAACUUGCUUCUAUUUUCUUAUGUUUUCGCCUGUUCGUAAAAAUAUCAAUGUAAGAACUUUAUAUUCAACAUUAAAGCCCAUUAUUUAUUGUUUAAUUUCAUAAAACCCACAAGUAUACUUAAAACUCUAAUAUUUUACACUUUACUAUUUAUUUUACCAAGUAAAAUGAAUAAAAGUACAAUAAAAAAAGAACACAAUCUCAUGGUUUAUUAAUGGACCCUCGACACAUUGAACAAGAAACAAAUAUGUCAAAACUCAAUAACAUAUGAAUCUAUAAUAAGAACAUAAACAAUUAUGUUUAUGUAAAUCAUUUAAAAGUGAAAAACAUAUAAUUACGGAAAACUCACCCGCGCGGGCGCGCGGGUCAAAGGCUAGUCUAUAUUGAAACAGAAGUAGUAAAUUAAAAAUAAAUCAGACUAAUUUGAAAAGAAAUAAAUUUGGAGUUCACUUUAACAGAACAGAUAUAUGAUUAAAUAUUGAAUUUCAUGUUUGAAAACAUAAUUUAUUCUGACAUUACAUAAAAGUUUACGAGCCAAAGCGUACGUGCAGUAUUAAUCUCAACCCCUUAUAUUUGGCCAUUGACCGAGUCUUUGGCUUUUACAUUAACAAAAUGGGACCAUCCUUAGUCAUUACUUUUCAACACGAGAAGCAGAAGUAACAACGGUAGUAACAUCUCUGAUGAAUUUGACGAAUAUGGUGUUAGCCACAUCAUUGGUGAGAACUAGUUGUGGACUAUCCAAGGCCCCUGAGAUGGUUCCAACGGUUCCGGCAGAAGUGGUAAAUUUGUAAAUGUUUGUUUCUGCUUCUUUUCCGGCUCUCUCUAUCUUAAACCAGCUAUUUCCUCUCCUCCGGUUACCACCGAUGAGAAUCUCAGCCUGGUCGGGAUUCUGUGCGAAUUCAUCGACUUCCCAGAACUUGGAGAUGCCAUUGCAGAUGUUGGACUUGAACUCGAUGGUUAUGUCGGAAUUUGUAGGGACAAUGGUGCGUGGCAGCAGGGGAGGGAUCAACCUCGGUGGAAAUGCGAUCCUAACCAGCACGCCCGAUUCCCCCGGAAGUGCUUCGGUGAUGCCAAGUGGACAAGAGGGGAGUAUAGCUGCAACUGGGAUAAGACCACCUCCGUUAAUCCCGGUAUUGACCGGUUGGAUGACGUAUCGUUCAUUGAUACGAACGUUUUUUCCGUCCGUGUCCGUCACCGGUACUUGUCCGUGGGUGCAGACAGCUGCAGCCAACAGGAGAGCGAUGAGAAAGGAGGCCAAUGGGAAUGAUGACAUAUUUUUUUUAUUGUUUGGUGAGUUGAGUUAUAGAGAUCAGACACAUUGUAUCGGUAUUUAUAGGAAGUCUAUAUGCUUAAACUUAAAAAUCAUUUGUUUUAACCUAGCUAGCAUAGAAUCCUAAACAAAUACGUGGAAACGAAACAGUUUCCACGUUUUGAAACUUAAAAAAGUAGUUUAAAAAGAAAUAAACGGUUUAGACAUCUAAACUGAAAUAUAUAUACCUUUGUUUAAUUUAUCUAAGAGAUUAAACUAAAUAAUAGGAGUGUUUUUUUAUUUUGUAAAUUUUAUAAAAUUUUAUCAAAAAGGUAAAAAAGUAUGUUAUCUUUCAAUAAAAUAAUUUAGUCCAAAAAAAUAAUAAUAAUAAUAAUGUAGUCCAUUUUCUUUUAAGUUAAAUUAUUAUAUUAAAAGGUAAUAAAUACUGAAAAUGAUAUUAAAUACAAAUAAAAAAUAUCAUUCUGUGGUAAGUAUGCCAAAAAGAAAUUAAGCUAUCAUUAAACAUAAAUUGACAAAUAGUCGUUUUGUGUUUCGAAUCAAAGUCGCUAGUUUUUAAAUGGAAACACUAUAGUUUCCAUCACAUUUCCGAAACAAGAUUUUGAGGGAAUUGUUUUCAUAAGUUUUCAAGAGAUUCUCAUUCAGAAACCUCUAUGAAACAGAAAAUGAACUUUUAACAGAAUUUCUAAACAAUUAUCAUGCAAAAAUUCCUGGAUAGGUCCUCUUUUUUUUUUUUUUUUGUAACAAAUUUCUAUAAUUUCAACUUCGAAGUAUGUUGUUACGUGUAAAUAAUUGGUCAACCUACUAAACCAAACCAAUUUCAAAUUCAAACUACGUCACAUUUCACAAAUAAUGAUCUCUAGAAAUCAUUGUUCUAAGAAAUAACAUACUAAGAUUGCGACAUAACUUGUAGCGAGCAGAUAUGCAUGGUACACUACACCACGUAAGAGUUCAUAUUUUUAGGGAACAAACACAAAAAUAAAAUAAAAACACUAAAACGUAAAUACGAGUUCUUUGCUUCUUCAACAAGCAGCUAAACCAAAACAAACAAACUUCAAACUCUUACUACUACUACUUCUGCUGCUGCUUCUUCACUGGACCUUACUUGUGCAACACUCAUUCAGUUCCCAUCAUCUGAUGACUUCAAGUAGAGUGUUUCUCCACCAUCCCCUGAGCUUCCACCCCUGCCUUCACCACUACCCAUCUCCGGCUUCCCACGGCCAAAUUCAUGAAACCCACCAGCCUCUCCCUGAAGGAUAUGGAGACCACUGCUUCCUCCUCCGCUGCUAGAGCUCAUCCCAAGCUGGCUAUGGUGCAACUGCUGGUGCUGAAGCGUUGCAUAAGGCUGUUGCUGCUGCUGAUACAUCAUUGAAGAACGAGCUGCCAUAAGAGACUGCUGAGUCAUCUGCUGCUGUUGAGUCGCCUGUUGCUGCUGCAAAUAGUGUGACGCUCCUUCUCCUUGAAUCAACCCACCACCAGCAGAUCCAUACUGCCAAUAUUACCAAUGAUUUUUUUCAGUAUUAUGCAGAAAAUUUGAGUACUCUUGUGAUUUAACUGUUUACCUGGCUAUGCACGCUUGGAGGUUGAGGCUGAGAAUCUGCUAUUGCAGCCAAGUACAUGAGGUUGCGUUGAAGCCUUGCCUGAUUCCUGUAACAAAAUAUUUAACCUUAUGAUCAUAUCCUACACACAAGUGAAAAUCAAGGAGAUAUGUUUUAUCUUACUCGGCACACUCGCUGAGCUUUCCUGAGUUUUGAGACUCAACUAUCUUCAGAAUCAAAGACUUGUUCUCAUCCAAGUACUACAGAUUAAGAACAUCAUAACCUUCAUUAAUCAGUAAUGGUACGGUACGAACAGAAUCUAUAAACAAAGAUUUGAUAUUUUCUUUUGUUGGAAUAAAGACAUAAGAAACUCAAGGAGACCCCAGUACUUGAGAUUCCAGACUUAUCAAAAGACAAAAAACGUUGAAACAUAGCAAAAGUUGUAUGAAAGAUUUUCUUUCUAAAAGAUUUUGAGAAGGACCACAUAAAAGUGGAGCUUAAGGACCACAAAAGUUAUAUAUCUGGUCAUGUAAGGAAAAGAAGGAACACUUGGACUGAGCUUAUACAUAUUAGAUCUAAAUCUAAUGAUAACAAUCUAAACAGGACCACCACAUUCAUUUUUAAAUAUUUAAUGGUUUAUUUGUUUUUAAUAAAUAUAUCACUAUUAAUAUGUUUAUAUAUUCAUUUAUUUUAUUAAGAAAUUCAUACUGCAACUUAUACAUCAAAAAAGUUACCAGUCAAUAGUUUUUAAAAAAUGAUUACUCUUAUUUUUACUGCGAACUUACCACAUAAACUUACAGUUUAUACCACAUAAUUUUUACUGUAAGUUACAUCGAGUUACAAAUCAUACUGCAACUCGGCUUUAAUACUACGUUGAAAAGAUAACAAACAUUAUUUUAGUUAUAAAACUGAAAUAAAUAUAACAGUUACUACUACUACAAAAGUUCACUGAUUGUAGCAGUUUUAUUGCAUAAAACAAAAUAAGGGUAUAUUCGUUGUGCUACACUUUGACGAUGAAAAAUAUUUGUGUUAUUUCAAUUUUGUCACUUUUUGUUUUCAUUACUUAAGAAAUAAAAAGAAAAUCUUUUAUCAAAAAAAAGAAGAGGGGAAGAUGUUAAACUUUUUGUAUCUGUCUUCUCUUUCUCACACCCACUUCUUCUGUAUAUAGAAAACUCUUAACUAUUGAAGAUGUAUAUCUCUGUGUGUGUGUGUGUGUGUGUGUUAUCUCGCUUUCUCUCCCCCACAAAAGUUGUUUUGCGUUAAAAGACUCAGAGAGACAGUGAAGUCUCUUAAAUAGAGAGAGAGAGAGAGAGAGAGAGAGAGAGGUGUUAAUAGGGAGGGGUGAGAGAGAGUCUUGUUUCUCUUUUUCUUGGGUUUUGGGGUAUGGUUUUGUUGGUUUCUUUCUGUCUCAUCCUAUCUCUGUCCCUGCGAAGGAGAGGAAGUCACGUGACGAGUCAUGCUUAUUAUAGAGACGUGAGCUUUGAAGUUUGCAUUUUUUUAUUGCUUUGAAGUUUCAACCUUAACUACAGUAAGCUUCUUUAUUUUGAAGAACUUUUCCAGACAAGACCAUUAACUGUAUAUAUCAUUCGAUUUAUUUCGCUUAGGUUUUCUCCAUUUUAGCCAAAAUAUCUUCAGUAUUUCGACUAGAGAGCUAACUAUAUUUAUUUCUUUUCCAAAAAUAGCUAACUAUAUAAUUCUAAGUAUAUGUGUGGAUUCAAGUCACAAUUUCUUAGCUAAUCGUAAAUUUCUAGUCAUUGCUUUAAAGAAUGCAAAGAAAAAAUUACUACUUGUUAUAUUACUACAUUUAAAAUCACACUAAAAUGUCAUCUGAUUUUAUAUAGACCUAUUUUCUAGAAUUCGAAAACAAACAACCAAACCGAGUGCCCACGCCUCCUUGAACAAAACACUGCCGGUACGAUCACUAGCCCAUUGGUUUGAAUGUUAGAUAUAUUGAUGAUGUUUGACUAAAGGAUCUCUAAAGUUUUUGAAAUGGUUUGGUGAUAGAAUUUAGUAUAUAGUUUGGAGUUAUUUGAUGCCUAUAAGAGUUCCUCGCAUUAUCUUUUGUUCGAAUUCUUGAAGUACGUUUCGAUGGUCGGUAAACUAAAUUAAAAAGAUUUAACAAGUUACCUUUUGCGUGGUUAUGUUAUUUCCACGUUAGGCUCUCUAGUAGAUGUGAUUAAAUAUAAAUUAACACCUUAUUCGCUGGUACCAAAAAUGGAUCCGAGAUAUUCCUUCUGCAUAUAUGAACCACGGAGGCUCUACUUUUAAUGUAUGUUUGUUUAAAUAUUAGAACCCAAAAACUAUUGUAUUAUGACUGAAGAUUAAAUUAAUCUGCAAGGAUUAUUGAAUUGUUUUGUUUUCCCGAUUAAUUAUGCCUAAGAACAAUAACUAAAGCAUAUAAGAAGCUCAUAGUUUUGAUUUAUAGAAAGAAAAAAAACAAGAACGAUAUUAAAACAUCGUUAAUUUUUCACAUCACACCAAAGAAAAAAAUGUUUGUCUUGCUAUAAAUUAAAACUAUGAGCUUAUAUGCUUUUGUAAAUUAAUCUGAGGUUGAUGUACCUUCAAUGAAACUUUGAGCUGAGAUAUUUUCGUGGUUAGAUACCCGACGUCAUAUUGAGAUUCGACUUAUUAGUUUGCAAUCUUCCCCACGCGCUUUUCAUCUAUAUACUUUAUCGUCUUUCACUCGUUUGAUUAUGAUCCUUUUCCCUAUGAUACGCUAAGCCAUAUAGGCUUCGAAUGUUACGAACCGUUCCGCUCCGCAGUAACAAAAAUCUUUAAAUAUAUUAUAUAUUCAUAUGUUUUUAUAACUGUUAAAACCGUACUGCAGUUAAACCGCUUAUUCCGCACCGCUCAAACCACAGUUGCCAUUCGGAGCCAUAAUGAAUUUGAAUUUGAUGUGUUGUUUUUUAUCGAGAAUAUUUUGAUGUGUUCUUUCUUUAUUGUUUCUGAAAGAGAGCAAGAAAUAACUGAAACUGAUUUUCUUGUUUUCAACACUUUCAAAGCGUAUAGUUAACGUGGUAAUACCAAAAAUGUGUCAUGUCAUACAUUUUGCUAAACCAAAAUAAAUUUCUUUUGACAUAUAGUAAGAGGAUGGAUGAUAAUUGAACAAAACUUUUAGUCGAAAGCAAACAAAACCCUUAAAAUAUAUUCCCUCAGUUUCAAAAUAAUACAUGUUUUAGAAAAUUUUCACAUUUUUUAAUAGAAUAUAUUAAAAUUUAAUUAUAAAUGCAUAAUUUUUUGUAAUUUUAUAUUUUUAUAUUUUUAAAUCAAUAAAAAAAAUUAAAAUGUAAUUAAUGUUUUUGAAUUUCAUAAUUUUCAUUAUAAUUUGACAAAAACUGUUUUGAAAAUAUAAAGUAUGUAUUUUUUUUAAACAAUUUUUUUUAAAGUAAAAUAUUUUUGAAACGAAUGGAGUAGGUUGAAGUGUGCACGCAAAAUAAACGAGAAUUUUUACACACAAAAAAAGAGAGACACAUUUUACAUGCAAACGACCAUAACAACAUAACGCCUAUGUGUCAAACAUGUGAUGUCCACGUAUAUUUUAUGUCUUUUCUCGCCUAAAAUUUGGCAAGUUUUGUUAAUUGUCGGUUUAUAAAUAACUAAUGAGAAAUGCUUAAUGGCAAGUGACAGUACUAUACUACUGGGAUUCAGUUUCUGAUAAAAACAAGAACAACUUCACUUUUUCUUCCAUAAAUCUAAGUUUUAUAGUAUUCAGAUAUGUCUUUACCAAUUGUUAGAUUCUACAUCUGACAUGAAAUAUAUGCAAACGUGCUCUAUAUUGAAUACUAGCAUUUGUUCAAAAGAAAAAAAAAAGAAUACUAGUAUUUCAAAUAAUGUUACUGAACAAAAACUUUUGGUUUCCACCUACCAACAAUUUAUUUGUUUCUUUUUUACACAAGAUAAAACGAUUUUUUAUUCACAAAAAAAAAAUUCAACCAAAUUUAUCAUUCUCUGUAUAUGCUUAAUUGUUGGCAAUUUCUAGUCUUAUACCAGUAAUCUCAAUUUGAUUAAUAUAAAUGCAACUAACAAUAUACAUUCGUCUUGCAGAUCUGCAAACCCUACAAACUGAGACACACAUAUAUAUAGGUAAGUUAUUCUCGAAGGAAAAUAUAUUAUUAUAUGCUUUACAAUUUUUUUUAAAUGUUUAGAAAAGAAAGGAAUAACAAUAAAGAGAAUUCAGAAAGUAGGACGACAUAAUAAAAUUCGUGGGGAAAGAAAAACAUAGGAAAUAAAUUGUAUGUAAUGAGAUAUGCGAAUCUAACUUUAGAUAUGUAUCUGAUGCAUGAAAUGAAACACCAUUAAUCCAUAUACAUUAGUGGCUUCUCGUUGGCCUGUCCGUACGGCCAGCUUUGGACGAAUAUGUAAACGAUAGCUCAUUGUAAAGUUAUUUUCUUUUUGUUGAAACAGCUUUUAUAAAGUAGCUGAACACUAAAGAUGAAACCAUAUAGUCUAAGGAUUUAUAAUUUAACGUUGAUAUAUGUAAGAAGGUAAUAUAAUAUGUAAAUGAAAUAUAACAAAUGGAAACCUUUGUGGCUAUUAUUUGGUCUAGUCCUGCAUUCUUUACUCAUAAUUGGAUACAAAAGAAGCUUUUGAAGCUUCAGCUACUUGUUUUAGAGCUCCCGAAAGUUGUUGCCCAUAGUGGUGAAUACGGUACUUUCGAGUAUGAAAUUAGUCCAUUUUUAGUUAUUUGACCCAUUCUACAAGAUUUGGUUGGCCACAACAUACGGGUUUGAUCAUUAGUUUCCAGUUAAUGUGAUGCAGCGGCAAUAGCCAAGGAUGGCGUUAUACCGAAUAUAAAUGGACUAACUUGACCAACAUAUAAUUCUAACUUUUAUCUUUCUUGACACAUCUAAAAGUAUCUAAUCUUAGUACACCAGUAAAGUAUGUAUUCUCAAAAAAAAAAGAAAAAAUCAAGUUUUUAAACUGCUGUAAACAUGGAUCUAACGGAUUGUAAAGUUAUUUAUUCAUAUAAUCACAAAUUUUAAACAAAUAUCUGCCUUUUGCAGAAGAAGUAGAAGGGGAAGAAGAAGAAGAAGAAGAAAACCUGCUGGAUAUGAUCAGAGGUGACAUUGCUGGGGUAGUAACCAGCCAUCAUGGGCUGCAUCUGCAUCAGGUGCUGUUGCAUCUCUUUUGCUAUUUUAUAUAAAACCUGAUUAUUAUUAUUUUUAUUUAUUUAUAGUUGCAAAAAUGUUUUAUAGAGAGAACCCCCACCACUAAACCCAAAGGAAAAAGAGAAGCCACCAGAGAAAGAGAGAGAGAGAGAGGGGAAGAUGUUAAACUUUUUGUAUCUGUCUUCUCUUUCUCACACCCACUUCUUCUGUAUAUAGAAAACUCUUAACUAUUGAAGAUGUAUAUCUCUGUGUGUGUGUGUGUGUGUGUGUUAUCUCGCUUUCUCUCCCCCACAAAAGUUGUUUUGCGUUAAAAGACUCAGAGAGACAGUGAAGUCUCUUAAAUAGAGAGAGAGAGAGAGAGAGAGAGAGAGAGGUGUUAAUAGGGAGGGGUGAGAGAGAGUCUUGUUUCUCUUUUUCUUGGGUUUUGGGGUAUGGUUUUGUUGGUUUCUUUCUGUCUCAUCCUAUCUCUGUCCCUGCGAAGGAGAGGAAGUCACGUGACGAGUCAUGCUUAUUAUAGAGACGUGAGCUUUGAAGUUUGCAUUUUUUUAUUGCUUUGAAGUUUCAACCUUAACUACAGUAAGCUUCUUUAUUUUGAAGAACUUUUCCAGACAAGACCAUUAACUGUAUAUAUCAUUCGAUUUAUUUCGCUUAGGUUUUCUCCAUUUUAGCCAAAAUAUCUUCAGUAUUUCGACUAGAGAGCUAACUAUAUUUAUUUCUUUUCCAAAAAUAGCUAACUAUAUAAUUCUAAGUAUAUGUGUGGAUUCAAGUCACAAUUUCUUAGCUAAUCGUAAAUUUCUAGUCAUUGCUUUAAAGAAUGCAAAGAAAAAAUUACUACUUGUUAUAUUACUACAUUUAAAAUCACACUAAAAUGUCAUCUGAUUUUAUAUAGACCUAUUUUCUAGAAUUCGAAAACAAACAACCAAACCGAGUGCCCACGCCUCCUUGAACAAAACACUGCCGGUACGAUCACUAGCCCAUUGGUUUGAAUGUUAGAUAUAUUGAUGAUGUUUGACUAAAGGAUCUCUAAAGUUUUUGAAAUGGUUUGGUGAUAGAAUUUAGUAUAUAGUUUGGAGUUAUUUGAUGCCUAUAAGAGUUCCUCGCAUUAUCUUUUGUUCGAAUUCUUGAAGUACGUUUCGAUGGUCGGUAAACUAAAUUAAAAAGAUUUAACAAGUUACCUUUUGCGUGGUUAUGUUAUUUCCACGUUAGGCUCUCUAGUAGAUGUGAUUAAAUAUAAAUUAACACCUUAUUCGCUGGUACCAAAAAUGGAUCCGAGAUAUUCCUUCUGCAUAUAUGAACCACGGAGGCUCUACUUUUAAUGUAUGUUUGUUUAAAUAUUAGAACCCAAAAACUAUUGUAUUAUGACUGAAGAUUAAAUUAAUCUGCAAGGAUUAUUGAAUUGUUUUGUUUUCCCGAUUAAUUAUGCCUAAGAACAAUAACUAAAGCAUAUAAGAAGCUCAUAGUUUUGAUUUAUAGAAAGAAAAAAAACAAGAACGAUAUUAAAACAUCGUUAAUUUUUCACAUCACACCAAAGAAAAAAAUGUUUGUCUUGCUAUAAAUUAAAACUAUGAGCUUAUAUGCUUUUGUAAAUUAAUCUGAGGUUGAUGUACCUUCAAUGAAACUUUGAGCUGAGAUAUUUUCGUGGUUAGAUACCCGACGUCAUAUUGAGAUUCGACUUAUUAGUUUGCAAUCUUCCCCACGCGCUUUUCAUCUAUAUACUUUAUCGUCUUUCACUCGUUUGAUUAUGAUCCUUUUCCCUAUGAUACGCUAAGCCAUAUAGGCUUCGAAUGUUACGAACCGUUCCGCUCCGCAGUAACAAAAAUCUUUAAAUAUAUUAUAUAUUCAUAUGUUUUUAUAACUGUUAAAACCGUACUGCAGUUAAACCGCUUAUUCCGCACCGCUCAAACCACAGUUGCCAUUCGGAGCCAUAAUGAAUUUGAAUUUGAUGUGUUGUUUUUUAUCGAGAAUAUUUUGAUGUGUUCUUUCUUUAUUGUUUCUGAAAGAGAGCAAGAAAUAACUGAAACUGAUUUUCUUGUUUUCAACACUUUCAAAGCGUAUAGUUAACGUGGUAAUACCAAAAAUGUGUCAUGUCAUACAUUUUGCUAAACCAAAAUAAAUUUCUUUUGACAUAUAGUAAGAGGAUGGAUGAUAAUUGAACAAAACUUUUAGUCGAAAGCAAACAAAACCCUUAAAAUAUAUUCCCUCAGUUUCAAAAUAAUACAUGUUUUAGAAAAUUUUCACAUUUUUUAAUAGAAUAUAUUAAAAUUUAAUUAUAAAUGCAUAAUUUUUUGUAAUUUUAUAUUUUUAUAUUUUUAAAUCAAUAAAAAAAAUUAAAAUGUAAUUAAUGUUUUUGAAUUUCAUAAUUUUCAUUAUAAUUUGACAAAAACUGUUUUGAAAAUAUAAAGUAUGUAUUUUUUUUAAACAAUUUUUUUUAAAGUAAAAUAUUUUUGAAACGAAUGGAGUAGGUUGAAGUGUGCACGCAAAAUAAACGAGAAUUUUUACACACAAAAAAAGAGAGACACAUUUUACAUGCAAACGACCAUAACAACAUAACGCCUAUGUGUCAAACAUGUGAUGUCCACGUAUAUUUUAUGUCUUUUCUCGCCUAAAAUUUGGCAAGUUUUGUUAAUUGUCGGUUUAUAAAUAACUAAUGAGAAAUGCUUAAUGGCAAGUGACAGUACUAUACUACUGGGAUUCAGUUUCUGAUAAAAACAAGAACAACUUCACUUUUUCUUCCAUAAAUCUAAGUUUUAUAGUAUUCAGAUAUGUCUUUACCAAUUGUUAGAUUCUACAUCUGACAUGAAAUAUAUGCAAACGUGCUCUAUAUUGAAUACUAGCAUUUGUUCAAAAGAAAAAAAAAAGAAUACUAGUAUUUCAAAUAAUGUUACUGAACAAAAACUUUUGGUUUCCACCUACCAACAAUUUAUUUGUUUCUUUUUUACACAAGAUAAAACGAUUUUUUAUUCACAAAAAAAAAAUUCAACCAAAUUUAUCAUUCUCUGUAUAUGCUUAAUUGUUGGCAAUUUCUAGUCUUAUACCAGUAAUCUCAAUUUGAUUAAUAUAAAUGCAACUAACAAUAUACAUUCGUCUUGCAGAUCUGCAAACCCUACAAACUGAGACACACAUAUAUAUAGGUAAGUUAUUCUCGAAGGAAAAUAUAUUAUUAUAUGCUUUACAAUUUUUUUUAAAUGUUUAGAAAAGAAAGGAAUAACAAUAAAGAGAAUUCAGAAAGUAGGACGACAUAAUAAAAUUCGUGGGGAAAGAAAAACAUAGGAAAUAAAUUGUAUGUAAUGAGAUAUGCGAAUCUAACUUUAGAUAUGUAUCUGAUGCAUGAAAUGAAACACCAUUAAUCCAUAUACAUUAGUGGCUUCUCGUUGGCCUGUCCGUACGGCCAGCUUUGGACGAAUAUGUAAACGAUAGCUCAUUGUAAAGUUAUUUUCUUUUUGUUGAAACAGCUUUUAUAAAGUAGCUGAACACUAAAGAUGAAACCAUAUAGUCUAAGGAUUUAUAAUUUAACGUUGAUAUAUGUAAGAAGGUAAUAUAAUAUGUAAAUGAAAUAUAACAAAUGGAAACCUUUGUGGCUAUUAUUUGGUCUAGUCCUGCAUUCUUUACUCAUAAUUGGAUACAAAAGAAGCUUUUGAAGCUUCAGCUACUUGUUUUAGAGCUCCCGAAAGUUGUUGCCCAUAGUGGUGAAUACGGUACUUUCGAGUAUGAAAUUAGUCCAUUUUUAGUUAUUUGACCCAUUCUACAAGAUUUGGUUGGCCACAACAUACGGGUUUGAUCAUUAGUUUCCAGUUAAUGUGAUGCAGCGGCAAUAGCCAAGGAUGGCGUUAUACCGAAUAUAAAUGGACUAACUUGACCAACAUAUAAUUCUAACUUUUAUCUUUCUUGACACAUCUAAAAGUAUCUAAUCUUAGUACACCAGUAAAGUAUGUAUUCUCAAAAAAAAAAGAAAAAAUCAAGUUUUUAAACUGCUGUAAACAUGGAUCUAACGGAUUGUAAAGUUAUUUAUUCAUAUAAUCACAAAUUUUAAACAAAUAUCUGCCUUAAUCAUUUUUACUUUUUGUUUUUCUUUUCAAGUUUUGAUUUGCAUUUGUUCACAACACUUUUGUUGUCACAAGAUUUAUUAAUACGAAAGACUGUUCUCUUAUAGUUUGACCAUAACCGUUCGUAACAAGAAAAAAAUCUGUUAUGAUAUUGGAAUUCUUAUGACACAAAGGAUUGUGGUGCUAUUUGUCAAUAAUUUAAUUACAAAAACAUUUAUAUAUGUGAGAAAUGGAGAAUCAAUAAUUAAGAAAUUGGGUCCCAAAAGCUCACAUGAUCUCUGAAAGCCAUGUCCAAUCCAACCCUCAAAAUUUGCAAUAAGGUGGUUGACAAGACUCUUCUUUUUCUUUGUUUUUAGCGACAAGACUCCUCUUUAAAAGUUAAUGUUGUAGAAUAAGAUUCCUCAAAAAUAUAACAAAAUAAUACUACUACUACUACUACAUAUAUAAACGAAAGUUAUCCAAUGGCACUAGUCCCAACAUCGAAAUCUUGUUUGCAAUAUCUUUUGAUUUGGAUUAAUUAAAAGCGCAAUGUGAAAUACUAGUAACAGGUUGACAAAAAAGAAAAGAAAUACUAGUAACAUUGACCUCCAGCAGGUUACUCUGGACUUUCAACUUUUCAGUAUUGUCACCGUCGACAAAAUUUAUGUUAUUUUGGUCGUGCUUGUAGCUUUUACAAACUUAUGUCGAUAAAUUGAAAGCAAACAAAUAUAUGACUUGAACCAAACUGGCAUAGACAUGAUGUAAAGGGUCAAGGACAAGCAAUUGGUAAUGGCAAUCAUAAAAAAGAGAUCCAAAAAGAGAAGUGAACGACUUAAGAAACAAUGAUUUGAGAAUAGUGGUUAGCUUACCAUUGAUAUUGCUUUGUGUUUGGGUUUUGUCCAACAAAAUUGACUGGAAUUACAUGUAGGGGGAACAUGUGGGUGGGUAUGAAGGCAUUAAUGAUUAGCAGAGUGGCAUCCAAAUAAUUAUGAUCUCCACAAGGAAACAGACCCUACUUUUCAACCCAAUCCUCUCCUCUUCACACCUCUAUAGAUUUUUCUCCCAUCCCUUCAUUGAGUUUCAAUUUGUCUAUAUUUCUUCAAAUACUCAACCAUUCGAAAAAAAAAACUCAACCAUUCGAAAAAUAAACUCAACCAUUCGACGCUAUCUUUUAUUUCAGUAAAUAAAUAGAACAUGUGCCUAAUAGUAGUGAUAAAUAUUUUAACUAUUAGGCUUUAAAAGUCAAAAUUUCGUCAAUCAUUCAAUCAGUUUUGUAACUUUUAUCCUAAAAAGCUAAAAAUCCAUCUUAUUUUUACAAAUAUAGUAACUAACUAAAUAGCAAACCAAAAAGCUCUACAGAUACAGUUUCUAUCCUUUGAAACAUAAUCACAAAUAUAAGUAGAAAAUAAACUAAAGAUCUUUCAUCGUUUUUUGAUAACCAUACCUACCUAUUCACAAGAAUAAUUAGAAAACUCUUAUGUUCUAUAAGAAAUUAGAGGUUAUGAUAGAGGGAGCAUGUGACUAAGUUCGGUGAAAAAGAAAGAUAAAAAAAAAAAAAGAGAAAAGACAUUAAACUCACAUGCCAUGUUUGGUUUAGGUGAAGCUUUUUCCCUCUUCCAAUGAAACGUCACAUCUUCAUUUCCAUUUUUAUGAAAUUCAAGGACGUUAAAUGACACAUCGCUCUAUCCAUCUGUUUCGCCUCCAAACUUCGUGCCGUUUUUCCACCUCUUGGUCUUUUUUUCUUUGAAUUAUACAGAGGUAUCCUGGCCCCACAGAAGUGCUCCAGACUAGUCACGUGUUGCCACGUGUCGGUCCUCUGUCAUUGACGAUGCCGAAAUGUUAAUUCCCCAGUGGCCGGGAUUCGAACUCAGGUGGCGGUACUCACAGCUGUAAGCCCUUUACCACUAGAGCUAGAAGCUCCGGUUAAAAAUGUCCUUGGAAGUCAAGGACAGUCAAAGACAUCUUUCCAACAUCGAGACUUGAAUUCAUAAAUUUAAACGCACUCUAUAUAUUUUAAGACGUGGACUCCUAAACGAAGAGCUAAAUGAUCAUAAAUUUGAUUAAUUGGUUUCAUGGUUGUAAUUAAGUCAUAAGUGGUUUAUAAUUGUGUAACCAUCCGUGUUAAAAUCGUUAAAUUUCAUAUACUUUGAAGAAAACUCAUGCGUUUUGCACCUUGAGCGAAACCUUCUCCAACUUAGGAGCUACAACAAUAACACCAUCAUGUUGAUCGAAAAAGUAUGCAAGUUUGCAACGGUGCAUGAACUAUAUUUGAAUAUUUCACUGUAUCGCAACCCAAGUCCUCAACAGUAAUAUUUAUCUCAGAGGCCUACUAAAAUGGGCCCUUAUAUGAGAGAUAGGCCUUCAAGGCCUACUUAGAUAUCUCGUGAAAAUUUUCUUUUUGCAAACCUAGGUAGAUAUGAUAUAAACUCAAGAAAACAUUGUUUUCUUUUUAAAGCAUUGUUAUAUUGUUCAGCAAGGAGGAAGAGUAAAAUAAUCAUCGACACAACAUUUGAUUAUCUUUCCACAAGACCACAACUUUUUUGAUAUGUUUUUUGAGUUGGUAAUGAAGCAAAAAGAGUUUGCUCGUUAUGCAGAGAAACUUAUAUUAAUCCUCGAAACCUGUAGAAAUUUGUUUACAUGGUCACUCCUUCUUGCCUUCAGGUUUAACUUCAGUUUCUAUUGGUUCCUCCUCUGUGUUCACCGCCUUCUCCUCCUUCACCGUAUCUUUGGUCACCGGAGUCAUUAGAGAAUCGAAUUUGUCUGAUUUCCCCAAUACAAUCUCAAUCUGAACAUCAGUUCAAAAAAAAUUCUCAAUCUGUACAUGACACAAAUGCAAUAUAAUAAAAUCGAAAAUACUUUAAUAAUAAGAUCUUAGUUAAAGCUAUUUUAAGAGAGAAAUAAAUGACUGGCCUUGGCCUUCUGAACUACUCUCCCUUUGUUCUCGUCCUUCAUUCCCACUGUUGAUGUCAGAACUUCUGUUUGUUUGUUUCACACAAAUGAAAUUUUCAGCAAAAAAAUAAAAUAAAAUAAGGAAGAGAUAAAGUUAACUCGACACAACAUUUGAUUAUCUUUCCACAAGACCACAACUUUUUUGAUAUGUUUUUUGAGUUGGUAAUGAAGCAAAAAGAGUUUGCUCGUUAUGCAGAGAAACUUAUAUUAAUCCUCGAAACCUGUAGAAAUUUGUUUACAUGGUCACUCCUUCUUGCCUUCAGGUUUAACUUCAGUUUCUAUUGGUUCCUCCUCUGUGUUCACCGCCUUCUCCUCCUUCACCGUAUCUUUGGUCACCGGAGUCAUUAGAGAAUCGAAUUUGUCUGAUUUCCCCAAUACAAUCUCAAUCUGUACAUCAGUUUAAGAAAAAAAUCUCAAUCUGUACAUGUCACAAAUGCAAUAUAAUAAAAUCGAAAAUACUUUAAUAAUAAGAUUUUAGCUAAAGCUAUUUUAAGAGAGAAAUAAAUGACUGGCCUUGGCCUUCUGAACUACUCUCCCUUUGUUCUCGUCCUUCAUUCCCACUGUUGAUGUCAGAACUUCUGUUUGUUUGUUUCACACAAAUGAAAUUUUCAGCAAAAAAAUAAAAUAAAAUAAGGAAGAGAUAAAGUUAAUGAAGAAACAACGUUAUACUUACUCUUCUCUGUUGCAAGUCCAUUGUUCUUCAAAAUUUCUGAGAUAGUUACCACUGUUGUGAUCGCUGCAUAUACACAAUUAAUCAUUAUAUAUACGAAACGUAGUAUUUAAAACACACACGGAGAAAAACAAAGUGAGAUAAAAAUAAAGAAAAUCGAAAAUGGUUGUAACUUGUAAGCAACCUACCCAUUCCAAGUGCAGAAAGCUCGACCUCGUUGUGCUGUUGAAUGUACCUCUGCAUUAGAUACACACGAAAAUAACGAAAUCCUAAUCAAUUUACAGUCACUAGAUUCAUAUAUAAAUCGGUUGCUUGACCACCAAGAAACCUUUGUUGUGAUAAAAUGUAACGAUUGUUCUUUUUUUGGCACUUACCUUGGCGAGAUUAACGUAGAAGAACAAUGGUUUCUUAGUGUUAGAAACUUGAAUCCUGUUCUUCUUAUGAGUUUCCACAGCGGUUGUUGUUGCUGAGACAAUGAGGUUGGUCGCCGGAGAUGGCGCCGGUGCAUGAACCGGAGUUGCUACUUCCAUCGCCAUUAUAAGUCUUUCGCUCUUCUUUUUUUUUGGGAAAUUUAGAAAAGAGUUAAAGAGGCGUGUAACCCAUUAUAAACAGCGGUUCGAGGUGAUUGUAAGUGACGCGUGUUCGUCGCCGGGUUGUACGUUGACUGAGCAAGAGAGAAAAACGGAUCAUCUGGCUUCCAAGUAUAUGCUUAUUUGCAUUUCUCACGAUCUACUUUGUGGACUCCGUAUUAAUUUCCUUAAAAAAAACGUAUAAAUAAAUACUAUACUUACUUAAGAACAUUAAAGAUAAGUUCUUCUUUGAAACUGUAAAAUGCUACGGAACUUAAAUCGAAAUUUUGGUCUAAAAGUGUUAAAUGUCAUUAGUAAUUUCAUAAUAGGGCUAUUAGGUUUGAUUGGUUAGAGGAACAAUCUAAGGCUUGGGAAUUUGACAAUUUGUUAAUGAGCCCAGAUUGAGAGUAUUCUAUAUUGCUCUCUUCUUUUUCUUCUUCACAUAAUUACUGGCCCAUGCACGCACGUUGUCACAUUUGAUAGAAAAUAAAUCGAAUGAAACACUUUUUUUUUUAUAAAUUCUACGGCUAUUCAAUCAGCUCGUACUUAAUGUUACGUAAUGGACGGUAUACCAGUGCCGGUCCAAUAUUCUCAUUUUUUUUCUUGAUGCCUUAAACUCAUUUAAAAUUUUAUGUUUUUGUUAUUUAUGUAAAAAAAAAAUUUAUGCCCUAUUUACAACUAAAUUUUUCGCUUAAAAUAUGAUGUCCUAAGUGGUUGGUUCCCUCACUUAUUGUAGAAAUUUAUGCUCAUAUGUUUCACAGUGUUGUAUUAAGUAAUGACGAGGUUAUGCAUAGAGAACUUUUUUUUUAUUCCAUCAAAUUAAAACUUAAAAUAUGAAGGUAAAACCUCUCAUAUCAGGUUAGAAUAAAACCUCUCAUAUCAACCACAAUUUAAGGUAAAACAAAAUGUAAAAAAUUUCAUAACAAAUGGUUCCCAGAAAAUGUUAGAAAUAUUUAAAAGGUUGAGACAAAGAGGACCCAGAGAUUGAUUUGAGAUCAGAAAAGUUGGGUUCGGAGGGUGUUCUUCCCCGUGUCGGCGUUAACUAACCGUCGUCAGCAUUGACUACGCGAAUUUAAAAGUGCAACGAUUCACGUGUUAUCCGAGGAUGUUUUAUUUUACACGACAAUAUUUCUAUUCAAACUUGUCGACACAUACAUAUAAUAUCUAGUGUAUAACAGAGAGUUUGUACUUUAGUUUUAGUCGUUGAAAAUAAAGAUGCAAAAUUGAUUCUUGAUAUUUAAUCUCGAUUUAAAAAAGAAAACGUGAGUAUUUUUUAAUUUAAUUAAUAGACUUUUGUACUGUUAUCAACGGACAACGAGUUUACUUUUUGGUUGGACAAAAUUCUUUUCGAAUAUUUAAUUGCCGAGAUGAAGAAUUAAUUGCCAAAAAAAAAUCCCACUAUAUAAAAGUGACUAUUUUUAAGCUUCCUAAAGCUAGCCACAUGCUCAAAAUAAUCAGGGCCAAUCAAAUUGCCACGUCACUGCCAGAUUAGGCUUCAAAUUAAAAUCACGAUCGGGCUUCCUGUGCGCUAACUCAUUCUCCGACUCCGUAUUUUUGUUUUGCGCCAUCAGCCGAAGUGAAGCCAAACUCAGAUAAUUCACUUUCACCCAGCCCAGCCCAUUAAUCCCAUCAAUCUGAUAAUUCACUUUAUCCCAGCCCAGCCCAUUAACCCUAAUCUACGUAUUGUUGAGACUCAAGCCAAAGCGCACACAGCUUUCUCAUCCUCUGAAUAACCUAAUCGCCGUCUCCCCCAUUUACCUUUCUCUCAUGACGACCCAUCUCGAAGCCCAUUCCCGAGCCACUCUCUCAUAAGCAUAAUCCCGUGUUCUAAACAUCCCGUGUUAAAUUUUUUAAAACACUCAUAUCUUAGAAAUAGUUUAGAAAAUAUCUUUAUAUAAAUGUUUUUUUCUUGAAUAAUAUUUAAUUAUAAUUUUUUGUAUCUUUUUAACUUUUAUAAUAAAAUUAUUGUUUUCAGAUAGCUACAAAAUAUAAAUAAGAAUUAUCUUAUUUUAAAUUUUUUUGAUAAUUUUAUUAUAUUAUUUUAAAAUCAUUUAUUUAAUAUUAAUAUAACAUAUAAAUUUUAUAUGAUUAAAAUAAAAUUCGUUUUUAAUUAUAUAUAAAAUUCAUUAAGGGUAUUCUUUUAAUUAACACAUUAGCGAAUCAGUUAGAAAUUAAUAAUAAAUCAAUAACCUAUCUAAAAGUCUAAAACCUAAUAAAAUAUGACAAAUAAGAAAAACUAACUAAAUUUUAAUAUAAAAUAGAAAUUUAAUAUUACUAAUAAAAAAUUCAUUUUAAUAUAUAUAUAUAUAUAUAAUAUUAAUUAAGGGUAUUUUUAAAUUAAUAAAUUAGUGACUUAGCUAAAAAUAAAUAAUAAAUCAAUGAUUUAGCGAAAACCUAAUAAAAACAUGACAAAUAAGUAAAUUUACUAAAAUUAUGGAUAAUAUAAAAUAUAAUUGAUUCUUUAAUACAAAAUUAAAAUAAGAGUUUUGUUAAAUAAAACAUAAGUUUGCCGUAUCGGUCUAACAAAAAAAACAAUCAUUAAUAGUGUCGUAGGAAUUAUGUUUUUCCCAUUAGCGAAUAAAAUUGAAGCAUAGUGUUGGAGGAUAACUCAACGUGUAGACAAGAUUAUGGAGAUUGACAUGGGAGUUGAGGUAACAGACACAACUGUUCUUUCGCAAAGAAACGCUCCUGCUAGACAUCCUGGAUAAAUGAAAGAGACAUAUCUUGACUUGGCUUUGUGUUAAUGGAUGGUGACUUUCCAAUGCUGUUUGGAGUAAGGACCGAUAUACACGCACCAAAUCACCACUGUAAGCGGAAGCUGAAGGUUUGCUAUGGGCAAUGCAAGUGAUACUGAAGUUUAGACACAGAGAGAUGGUCUUUCAAUCGACUGUGAACAACUGGUUAUGCUUAUUCAAAAGGAGAAAGAUUGGCCUGUGUUGGACUCGGAGCUCAACGAAAUACAGGCUGUAUCUAAAGAAUUUUCUGAACUUUCUAUUGCUUAUAUUCCUAGAGCUUUAAAAUUCCGUAUGAAUAGCCUAGCAAAAGGUGUCCGAUCACGCGCAUCUCAAUCAGCUUUUGUAAACCCUUUUGCACCAAGUUGGCUAGCCCCACAAGCUAGCAUGAGGAUGUCAAAAAAGAGAAUAAAGUUAAAAGUGAAACUAAAUAUCUCAAUGAACAAAUUUAUCAGAAGUCCAUAUUUAUGUGGAUGUCUAUAUAGGACAAACAAUUUUUUUAGACAAUUAUAGAAUAUAGUCACGAAAAUCAAUCCUAAUAUAUAUAAUUUAAAAAAACCAUCAAAAUUUUCAAUAUUACACCAAAUAAGAAUAUAAAGACCAACUAUAUUCUCUUUAUGUAUAAUGUGUUGUGGUAAGAUUCAAAAAAAUUAACUUACUUUACAGUAAGGAAAAACUAGAUUUUUAAUUCCAAAUUUACAAUAAAAACAUAACAUUUUAUAAAACUAAACAAUUGACAUAAUAGUACAAAAAUAUGAAGAAAAAAAACAAAAUACUAUCCGCGCGUAGCGCGGACAAGGACCUAGUUACUAAUAAUAGAAAAAGCUGUUAAAAGAAAAAAAUGACAAAUUAAACAAGUAAAAAACAGAGCCGAUAAAUAUCCAACAGCUUAACAAAUGAAUCGCAGUUCCAUAAUAACAGUCACCGCCAGAAACAUAAGCAAUCUUUCUUUUUCAUUGAGAGAGAGAGAGAGAGAGAGAGAGAGAGACCGCGAGGGAGAGUUCUUGUUCUUUAUUGUCUGAAAAAAGCUCACGACAGACCGGAAAGAUUAGUCACGAAGACUUGUUGUCAAGAAUAAUUGUUCAUUUCAGACAAGAUCUGUAAGGACAUUAUCUCAUACUCGUUUUUUGUUUUUCAAUUUUUGUUUUGUUUAUUUUUUCAAAAAAGAAAAUAUUUUUUUGUUUGGUUCUCCCCUGUCGCGUUGUAUCGAGUUUGAUGAAAAAUAUGUUCCUCGUAUCAACCAAUAAUAUUUUCUAAAUGUUAUCGUCAUCUGGAUUCAUGCUGUUCAUUUCUUUUUAGAUCCGAAAUGUUCAGAUUCCAGAUUAAUAUCAAACCUUUGUUUCUUUAUAACCAUGAACAAAUUAGGUUGGUAGGAUGCUGGAAAUUCAAUCAGAGAGCUGAAAAAUUGAAAUAACAAAAAAAAAAACAGUUUGAAACCUUAACAUUAAUUAAAUUAGGUUCUAAUAAUAUGUUUUACAAGUUGUUUAAUCUAUUAUCUCGUCUAUUUUUUUUUUGGUGAUUUAUGGUACAGUAAUAGACUAGUUGUUGGAAAUGGGAAGAGAAGUUGUUGAGUCGGUGAACAAAGAUGCAUCCAAUGGAAGGACUCACGUGGCUCCCAAGUUAGCUGCAGAGGAGGAUUACGAGGUUAAAGAAUGCACUGAGGAGGCGUCUCUCUCCCAGAAUCAUCAAUCUCCUCCUAGUGUAAUCACUGAGGUAUUGUAUAGUAGUGUAUAGAGAGACAUUGGAAUUGACUGAGAUAUGAAAAAAGUUUUUAACCUAUUUUUUUUCUAAUAUAUCAGAAUGAUGUGAAGAAGCCGUUGGAGCCUGAUAACAAGAACAGUUUGGAUGAAGAAGAUGAAUCUUCUCUUGCUUCUUCGUAUCCUUUUUUAGUAUACUUACUUCACAAAAACACCGAUAAAUCUGCUUAUUUGUGAUAAAUAGUAUUUUAGUUUGAUUGUGAUUCUUGACGAUAUUUUACUCCAGCGCUGCAACAUCCUUGAGGAAUGCUAAGUCUAGAGCAGUAAAUCAUGGAACUGCUCCACGGAUUAGGAGUGCUCAGCGCGCUGAAAAACGCAAGGAGGUAUGUACUCAUAAUCAACAAAGACAAUUAACAAUCACUUAUGUUCUGUUCACCGAUUUUAACUGUCAUUUUUGUGGGUUUAGUACUACCAAAAGCUUGAAGAGAAACACCAAGCACUAGAAGCUGAAAGAAACGAGCUCGAACAAAGGCAAAAGGUAAAUCCCAUUAAGUAACUAAAUCAAGAAAAUGUAAAUGAUUCUUAUCUUUAGAACAUCUAAAUGGGGAACACAUUUAAUGUGCAGGAAGAAAAAGAAGCAGCCAUUAAACAGCUAAGAAAAAACCUCAAGUUUAAGGCUAAUCCGGUGCCUAACUUCUAUUACCAAGGACCUCCCGUGAAACCAGAGCUUAAGAAGGUAUCAAUUGUAUCUAGAUUAUCUCACAUAUGUUACUUGUGUCACAAGAAAGCUUAUCAAAAUGUUCUUUGUUUCAACAUAGUUUCCUUUGACGCGUCCAAAGUCCCCCAAACUCAAUCUCUCUAGGAGAAAGAGUUGCGGAGAUGCCAUUAACUCUUCUGGUGAAGAGAAUCCGAAGUCAGUCUCUACUCAGAACCGACACAGCGUCGGCAAAACAGAGUUGAAGCCUGUGAGUGUGAAUGAAGAUUCUUCCAUGGAGGAAGCGGUUACCAUAACCUAAUUUGAUUAUACCGGAAAAAACCGAACCAAACCAAACUCUGAUUUCUGGUUAUCUACGGUAUUUGUUCAGUUUCUCAACCGUUCUCCUCGAACGGUUAUUGAUUGUUUUUUCUGUUUCACGUUUGUCUCUACUUGAUUUCUGUUUUAAUGUUACGUAACGUUUAAACCUGACACUGUAUAUUUUUAAGUGUUUGAGUAAUCUUAGAGCUAAAGACUGAAUCGAUUAUGCUAAAACUCGAAGCUGGUUAAUAAUUUCAUUGCUGAUGAUUAGUUUCAAGAUUAAUCUCCUCUUAUCCCUAACUUAUAAAAAAAAUAUUGAAGAAGCGUGAAGCUAAUUCUAGAAGAGUUUACUACUAAUUACAUUCUCUAAUGGACUUGGAAAAACAGAGAGGAACCGAAUCAUAUCAGAUACAUUAGUUCAACAUCUGAUACAAAAAAAACAUUCUAGAUUAUGACAUUUAUAACAAUAUCUAUAUGUAGAUAAGGCUGAAACCAAACUUGUGAUGCACGAUAACCUACGUUCAAGGUAGAAUUUACACUUGCAGAUCGCAGCUACUAGACCGGUUUAGCUAAUCAGGUGUGAGCUGACUGGGAGGAGAGCAUUCUCGCAUGGUUAUGCUCACCUUCAUAAGUCACAAUAAGCAUCGAAGUUUCGUCUACACAUCGUUCAACAUGCUUCCUUGCUGGACAACCUCGCACGCUGCUGCAUUUAUAGUAUCCCCUGUAACGAGAGAGCAAUAUUAAAAACUAGUGUUCUAAAAAUCGGUCUAGGCAGCAAAUCAGUCAUAAGCUAAACAAUUUUUCAUAAAUAUUUUUCUCGAAAAUCUUAUAUAGGGCCUAUCUCGCCUAGUGAUUUCUUGAACAUUGAACGAGGCCAUUGGCUAAGCAUGUAACUAUUUACUAACCUAGGAUGAGGAGAACCCUUUAUUGGCUUUUGUCCAUACUUCCUCCAUGAGUAUUCAUCUGGAGGUAUAUCAGCAAUCUUGUUACUGAUUGCAGGUACUUUGAUGGAUCUUUUUACUCUCAGCUUCCUGUAAAAUAACCAAACAUCUUAUAACACAAACACUUUCUAUCUCAUAGAAGAAGACAAAACCAACACACACCUUUUCUUGGAACAAUGACACUUAUUUCCACAUUUCAAACUACCAGAGCAGCUUGUCCUCCUUGAAUGCUGCGACAUAUGAUCAGACCCCUGAGGUAAUCCUAUCAAAUGAAACGAGUUUCUAUCGUAGUCCGUCACACUCCCAUCCAUACUGAGAGAUGAAACAAACGAUCUUGAUCCAUUGGAAACACUUGGGGAAUAGCAACUACCACCACCACCAGACCCAUCAAACUUUAGGUUUAAACCACUGUUACUCCUAUAGUACACUCCUUGCUGGUGGUUACGGAUAAACUGAUAUGGCUUUUGAUCAACAGCUCGAAGAGACGGUGGCUUUAGCUCUAGAAACGACUUGUCAACACACAUUUUCUGGUUAAGCAUCAUAGGUGGAGGGUGAACCGGUCUCUGUUCACCAUAACUAGGAGCAGCAGGUGGUAUAACCUGAAGAGGCUUUGGUGCUAGAACCGGAGUGCAACCAGUUAUAGCAUUAUUACUGCAUAUAGGACUUUCCAAGAAGAUGUAUUGGGGCAACAAAGGAGACAUAAACUUGUAGUAGUUGUUGUUGAGUUUCUUGAUCUUUCUUUGACCUCCUAACCCUCUAGUCAAAAGAGAAGUGACUCUCUUGAACUUGAUAACUGCUUCUCUUGUUUCAACCAGUAGGGAUUUAGGAUCACUGGUUUGUUGUGACAAGAGAUUCAAGACUCCAUGACAGCUUUCCACUGCUUCUUUGUUUGCAGCUUCAACUUCCUCCAUUUUUUUCUUCCACACACACAAGCUUCAGAGCUAUAAAAUUCAAUCAAAUCAAAUGUGUCAGAAGCUUCCAAAGAUCUAGAACUCAAACCCUAAAAACUAUUGUAAAAGGAAAAGCAAAUCAUCAUGACUCAUGAGCACAGCCAAAACAUUGAAACCCUGAAAUGGAUUAAAGGGAGAGAUCUUUCCCAUACAGAUUAAGAAGAAGGAUGAGGAAGGAAUCACCCAGAAGUUAAAGUGUUCUAAAAGCAAAUAUUUUUUUUUUCUUAUCUAACUGUAAGAAGAAACAAAUACAAGCUUAGGGACUUGCCUUCUACGUCUGAGAGGAAGAAGUUCUUUCACAAAUAUUCCCUUAGCCCCAUUAAAAUACAAAUCUUUUCUUCUGCUUUGUCAAUAUGAAUUAAAAUAUAAAAAUGAAAAAAGAAAAGAAUAGAGAAGAGACAGUGGAGUGGAGUUGGGUCUUUGAGAGUUGGUCGUCGCAGUCACAGGGGAAGGAAAGAAAAAAACAGAGUCCUCUCUAAAAGAUUUUCUUGGUAGGUCCCAAUACUGGACCUACUUUGCAUCUACUCGUUUGUAGUUACGUUUUUUCUUUUCCUAAAUAAAGCUUAGAUCAAAGUUCAAACAUAUAUUUUUAUAAGCAUUUUGUAGCAUGAUUUUUCAUCUUUCAUGUUUAUAUAAAUGAUAAAAAUAUUUAAAAAUAAUUAAUGUAUAGUGAUAAUCAAUGUAUUUUAAUUAUUAGUUUCUGCAUAAUGUAUAAGAGAUUGAUGCCAUUUUUAUAGUCCUGCGUGGAAAGUAUUCUAAAAUUUAAAUAAAAUAAAAAUAGGAAACUGUCGUUAAUUGGCCCCACGUUCCAGCUAUGUAUUCUUUAGAAUCUCGGGCAUGCAACUUGGACAAAUGACGGCUAGUAUUACGACACCUGUCCAUAUGUUCCUGUCUUCAUCGUAACACGUGUAACUGGAAUGUUGACUGAACAUGAACUGUUGUCUGUUUCUUGUCUUAUCUUGAAAAUGGAAACUUUCUUGCAUAAAUCUUGUAAUUUAUUUGAUUUUUAGAGUAGGUUAUUCAAUUUAAAACAGUGUAGACUUAAAAGUGUUACAUAAAUAAAAUAUAUAAAUAAAAACAACACUAAAAUAGCUAAAACUAAAACUGUAAAUAAACCAAAAGAAAACUACAGGGACUAACACCAAAUGCGUUGGUGACCAUAGGAAAUGCGAGACUGGAAAUUAAUCCCUCUAAGACCAUGUUCAUUACUAGUCCUAGUUACAGUAUCUAAAGAACUUUCAGUAGCAAAACGAAGAGCCAGUACAAAAUCAGCGCAGGAAGUUAACCCAUAUCUUAACUUAUUUUAGAUAAAAAAAAUAAUUAAGUUAAUAUUAUCCAGCCAAUUACUAAAAAUUGGAAAAAAAAACGCAUAUACAUAAAAUUAAUUCUAGAAUAAGAGCGCUAGAUGGUAAUGAUGUGCAGACCACCACCGGAUGUUUUUCCGCAUUUAUCGAACGAGACAUGUCUCGCACAAUAUACACAAAACAUACGGUGAACACAUUGUUGAGGCCAUUUUUUGGUUCCAACACAAAUUACAGAUGAUUGAUUUGGCUCUUUGUCGCCCAUAAAAAAAGAGCAAAAUUAAAAUUAAAAAAAAAAACUGGACCCAAACCGAAACAAGAGUCACAGAGUUGACCUGGCAAAGAUUCUCUUUGCUUCUCGUCAAGUAGCAAUGAACUGAUUGUUUCUUCAGACGACAGUAUUGAAAAUAAAUUUUAUUUUGUUCGUUAAUACUCUGUAGUUUCGAUUUUGUUCAUCCGUUAGUAAAUAAAUAUACUUAUAACUACGAUUUGAGAUACUAGUUUUCGUAAACUAUAAAGUCUAUUUUAGAAAUUCAACUUUUGUAUUGUCGGAAGCAAUAUUUUAUGUAUUAUAGUCGUUGUCUUUGUCGUCGUAUGUUCGUCCUCUACUCGUUAGAUCAAGUAGCCAUGGCCGAUUCGUUUUCGUCAAUUUUCACACCUACAAAGCCACUAUCAUCAUCACACUAGCUAGAUUGGCCAACUCCACCUCCUUAUUAUUAUUAUUAUUAUUAUUAUUAUUUUAGUACAUAGAGCAUCCAAUAAGGAUCUCGAAACCGUCGAAAACAUUAGGAGCAAAAGCCAAAGAGCAAAUCGAUUAUUUGGUUGACAAUAAUCUUUCUGACGCAUGAAGCUUUUCCUUUACUCUUUUUAAAUUUGGAUAUCGUAUCAAGCCCACGAUGCAUAUCUUAUCGCCAUUCCUUUCUUCGAUUUUACUCCUAUCCAAUCAUGCACAUGUAACAUAUGUAUCCGUCAUCCAUGUGCCACUUUAACAAUCACAUGUCCCGUAUUGUUAAAUCAACUGGAUUUAGUUAGAAAAGAAAAAUAUAAUAACCAAGCUAGGUUAUCCGAUUAGGACGACGUUUAUAUAUGUAUAUCUGGGAAGAUUCGAUAUACACUUCAUAAAAUCAUUAAGGUACGAUGUUAGUACUUAGUGAUAUAUCAUAUAUGUUACAACUUACAUGUAUGGAACUUUGUUAGAUAUAUAAAUAAAACGUUCUCUUAAAGUCUCUUUUUCGUUUAAAUCUGAGCGUACUAAAAGUCUAAAAUGAUAUAUAGGAUGAUUGCAAAGCUAAUAAAUAAUUGUCGACAUAAAAUAUGAUUUUACUACCAUCGUCCACUUUGGUAGUGACCUUUGGUUCCACAUCCACUAUGAAAUGUGAAUAUGAUCCCCAAGACAAAAUCAUUGAGCCAUUUUAUAAUAUAUACACACUACCAGUCUACCAUAUAAAUAUUGCAUUCGUAGAUAAUGGUAAAAUACCCAGUCUGCAAAAAAGUAUGUCUAACUUUUCUGUUUUCUUGCAGAAUUUUCAAAAGAAUCAGUUAUAUAAUCAAUUUAAACUAAACCACGCCUGUUAUUGUGAUUAUGAUUUGACUUCGGUGCCAUAUGACAAAUGACAAAUUCCUAAGCCACUACAAAUUGCUUUUGAAAUAUUUUAAUUCUAUAAUGAACCAAAAGUUUGUUUAUUAUAUUGCUUACAGCUUUAGAGGUUGAUACAUAAGUAAGUUUUGAGUAUUUUGUUUGGGCUUCAUAGCGCAAGCUGAUGAAGUACAAUCCAAAGGGGAAGUCGUCUUGAUUCCACUUGAGUUUUCGCAGCAUUGAUUUAGUUGUUAACAAAGAGAUAUCAUAGUAAGGCUCAUUCAUCCAAAAAACGACGUCUACAAAUAAAUUAGUAACCAAAACCUCAAUGCCUAUUUCCGACUCUUUAAUGAGUGAACGAUACUUUCCAUAAAUUUUUCUUUUAGGCUACUUCGGUUUAGCUUCUAAACUUAAUUGUGAAAGUUUAACAUUAUUAUAAAGUAAGGUAACAUAUCUUUUUGAAAAAUUAAUAGAUCUAAUUUACCAAAAAAAAUUUAAUAGAUCUAGGUCUGAGAAUUCGCAUAUAUCUUAAUAAGACGAAAUUCAAACCACUAUUAAAUUAACAUUUUAGAAGAAUAAGACUUCAAAUGGAGAAAACGGAUCAAGCGUUGUGGAUCUAGCGGAUCAAGCGGACCGAGCGGAACAAGUGUGGAUCAAGCGGAUCGAACGGUUCAAGUGUGGAUCUAGCGGAUCUAGCGGUUUAAAAUAUAUGAUUGAAUGGUGAAAGUGGAUAAAAAGUGAUCCAAAAUACUGUAGUAAUUUAAAUUAAUCUAUAUAAAAUUUUAUAAUAUUUAUUUUCAUAAUUAAAAAGUAAUAUUUUAAAAAUACUUUAUAAAUGAAACAUAUAAUUUUUUUUCAAAAUAUACUAAAAAAUAUUUUUAAAGAUACAAUUUUAUAUUACUAAUUAUUUUUCAUAAUUCAAAUUAGUUAUUGUAAUAAUUUUUUUAUAAAUUGAAUUAGUAAAAUUUAUUCAAAAUAUAAUUAAAAAUAGUUUAAAAAUAAAUUUAACUAUUUACAGUUUUAAAUUGAUUUUGGAUGAUUUUAAAAUAAUUAUAACUGUAGUAAAAUAGUAUUCUAUUAGCAUAGUAAAACUACUUAAUGGUUUCUAUAAUAAUAUCAACAUAAAUAUUAUAAAUCUUAAUAUUUAAUAGAUAACACAUAUUCUACUUCAAAUAGAAUUUGACUUAUUAAAAAAAUUUAAAAAUGAUAAAAGUUGAAAAUGUAAAAUUUGAAAACUAUAAAUAAACUGUAAUAUUAUUAUAUUAAAUUAAAAUUUUACAUGAUAAAUAUGAUGUAAAUAUUAAAACUAAAUGGUGUAUUUAAUGUAGUACAAAUUAGAAGAUAAAGAACUAUAAUAUUAUGUUUGUAUAUGAUAUAAAAAGUUUUAUCAUAAAAAUAUUAAGAUAGAAUAAUAACUUAAAACAAGUUUUACAAACAAAAAAGUGUAUGAAACACUCAUUUUAGCAUGUGUAUUGCAUAUCAAAUGGUUCCUCUACUUUUUUCACAAAAAGACAAAUAUAUUUGUACUGCUUGUGGUUCCUUCGUCUUUUCUAAUUAAUUAAUAUGUAAAAUUUUGUGAAUGGAAAAUUAUAAGAUGGAGACUACACAUUAGUAUAUGAUCUAUCUUUGCUCCACUCCCCAUUCUCAACCUUGGUAAUUGGAGUGGUUCAAUAGCAGUUUUUUUUUUUGCAACUUUAUUUCAUUUUAAAUUUAAUAAUUUAUUAAACAAAUUUUUACAAGUUAUUUUUCAUACAGUUGUUGUUUUCUAUUAAUAUUUAAGCGAUUUUACAAAGUAUUAUACUUUCUUAAUAUUAUAAAAUUUCUUAGACAAUAGACUAAAAAUAAAAAAUAGGUCAAUAAUUAAUUCAAAAACAGUCAUCAAAGUGUAUUAUACUUUAUUAAUACUAUAUAAAACCGAAGUGUCCAUCCCUAUAAAUUACGUAUAUGCUUAAUUUAAAAUUAAAAAGAUUAUCUAUAUAUAUAUAUAUAUUAUUUUAUUAUAUUUUAAAUAAAAUAAAUAUUUACAGUAUUUAUAAAUUAUUAUUAUUCAAAAAUAUAAUUAAAAAUAGUUUAAAAUAUAUAUAACUAUUUACAAUUUCAAAAAUUUACUUUGGAUGAUUUUAAAAUAAUUAUAACUGUAGUAAAAUAGUAUUCUAUUACCAUAGUAAAACUACUUAAUGGUUUCUAUAAUAAUAUCAACAUAAAUAAUAUAAAUCUUAAUAUUUAAUAACACAUAUUCUACUUCAAACAGAAUUUGACUUUUAAAAAAAAUUAAAAAUGAUAAAAGUUGAAAAUGUAUAAUUUGAAAACUAUAAAUAAACUGUAAUAUUAUUAUAUUAAAUUAAAAAAUCACAUGAUAAAUAUGAUGUAAAUAUUAAAACUAAAUGGUGUAUUUAAUGUAGUACAAAUUAGAAGAUAAAGAACUAUAAUAUUAUGUUUGAAUAUGAUAUAAAAAGUUUUAUCAUAAAAAUAUUGAGAUAAAAUAAUAACUUAAAACAAGUUUUACAAACAAAAAAGUGUAUGAAACAUUCAUUUUAGCAUGUGUAUUGCAUAUCAAGUGGUUCCUCCACUUUUUUUCACAAAAAGACAAAUAUAUUUGUACUACUUAUGGUUCCUCCAUUUUUUCUAAUUAAUAUGUAAAAUUUUGUGAAUGAGAAAUUAUAAGAUGGAGACUACGCAUUAGUGUAUGAUCCACCUUUGCUCCACUCCCCAUUCUCAACCUAAAUCAUUAUCAACAGGAAUUGAUCUUUGAUCCUUUAUAUACUUAAUAAAUUAUCUAAGACCAUGAUUAACCUGGAGUUCUUAGAGUGGGAUUCUUAAUUAGAGCAUCCGCAAUGGGAAUCCUUAAGAGGAAGUUCUUAGGGAAAAAUAAUUAAAUAAUCGGUGGAUCUUACCAAAAACUAAGGAUUUAAUCCUUAAAAUUUCUAAAUAAGGACUCUUUCUUAGUGAAUCUUUGCACUAUUUGCGGAUCCCGACGACAUGUGGCGAUCCGCGAUUGGUUGAUAUUUAUUUAUUUUAUCUAAAAAAGAAAAAAAUAAUAAUAAUACUUAAAAAAUUAAAAUACACUUUUUCUAAGGAAUUCUCUUUGGAUAACACCAUUGUGGAUGCUCUUAGCGGAAGUUAAAAAAACUGUUUCUUAACUUUUAACUAAAAAAGCUAAGAACCGGUUCUUAUAGUUCUUAUUUAAGAACCGGUUCUUAACUUUUUUAGUUAAAAGUUAAAAGACAGUUUCUUAACUUCCACUAAGAACUUCAUCCUAAGAAUCCCGGUUAAUCAUACUCUUAGAGUUUUAAUUACUAGACCACUUUUUCGUUGUUUUUAAUAGUUAGAAAACUUUAACUCGGUACCGAUAGCCAUGUUCUUUUAAUGGUCGUUGCAGCCAGCUGUAGCGUCAACAAAAAUCACUAUGACAAAGGCAAACUGAACGGGUUUUGAAAACUAAAUCUGACGCCAACAAGUUGACGGAGACACAAUUAGCAGAAGUCGCUAACGCUGCUACCUUUUUCAGAGUCAGAUUUAUUAUUUAUUUUUGCCGCAGCGACUGAGAAAACAAAUCGGUUUUGUCCCGCCAGCAGUGUAUUUUUUUUUGUCAUUGAUGAUUCAGAAAUGUUGCAUCCAAAGGGAUGUGAUAAUAAGCGAAAUAAAACCAAAAACAAAGUGGAAGCUAGUAGGCCCCAAAAAGCAAACCCAAACUGUUGGGAAAAUAAGAAAUCAUAGAGCAGGCUUCCAAACUCAGAACCGAGCCUUAUCCUGCUAAUAUUAAUCAGCAACAGAGUAACCUUAAGUUGCCUCCUGCAACAGAACAGCAGACAGCCAAUGAGGUCCACCAAAAGCAACAUAUGAUUGCAGACGUUGGUCCUUUGUGACACUAUCCGCUAUUGCAGAGGCUGCAAUGUUACAUGUUUCAGGAAUUAGAAACAAACUGCUCUUAGCCAGUGAGUAAACGUUAUUUAUUAGCCAGCAGUGUAUUUACCAUGGAAAUAUGUGUAAUUUUUGAACGCUAGUGCUGGUGCUGGUUGCAGCGUUUGCAAAAAGAACAGGGCUAAUAUCUUGCUAACAUGUAACAACAGCAAUAGAUAUAGUUUUACAAGUGUUUUGACUUGGGUUUAACUCAUAAAGCACGGGUAAAUUAAAAAGAAAGAAGAUCUAGGUUAUGUUCGCUUAACAUAUUACAUAAAGAAAAUAAUAAAAAGAACCGAUUGAUCCACAUUUUCCUCUUAAUUUCCAUAAACAAAACAAAAAUAAUGGAUGUCUUUUUUAGUUCGGUUUUCAAAUUACCUCAUCGCCCUUUAGGGUUUACAAUUUGAGAAAAUAUCCCACUGCUUUCCUCGGAAGACAAGUCACUCACGUCAUGUUCUCCGGCGCCGCCGACGUUAACCGCCAUACCACCACCUUCUCCAGCUAAAUCCUCGGACUCACCUCCACGGCUAGGCGUUGGUUGUCGCGACCCAUCAGCAGUUUCUUGUAACUGAAGCGCAAACUCAAGAUUCCACAAAACAUCUCCCAUCGUCGGCCGAUCUAAACCACUAUCCGAAAGACACUUCUCCGCCGUGUCCGCAAACUUCUUCAAACAUUCAGGAUUAAUCUUCCCUUUCAGAUUAGGAUCAAUGAUAUCCUCUAACGUCCCUUUCUUUUUACAGUUCGUCGCCCAGUCACCAAGACUCACUUGCUCCUUAGGCAAGCUAGGGUUUAAAGCCGGUCUAGCACAUAAGAUCUCAAACAAAACAACUCCAAAAGAGUACACAUCUGACUUCUCGGUUAACUGCUGUCUCCUAAAGUACUCUGGAUCUAAGUAACCGAAGCUUCCUUUGACUACGGUCGUGACAUGACCUUGGUUCAUGUUCGGUCCGGUUUUGGAUAAACCAAAGUCGGAGACCUUCGCAACCCAAUUCUCAUCGAGUAAGAUGUUCGUUGUCUUCACGUCACGGUGUAUGAUCGUAUACUUUGCACCUGUGUCAGUGCCAGCUCAACAUGUUAGUAGACCC
rnacentral:lncRNA from 1 species